CAAGUUUUGCAUGCUUCACAGAGCAAUUCAAUCCUUAUAGCUUGAAGAAAGUUGAAUGGAUGCUUCAGAACAAGAGAAAUUUAAGGAACAAAGAGAGAGGAUAUUUCGCAGCUAUGACUUGCAUUUUCUUCAUCCAUUUAAACUUGUUCAAACAUAGGAUAUUCCAACAUCACAUCCCAAUCCAUGACAGAAGGGGAUUGCUGCAUCACCGACUGACCGACCGACCGACCGACUGAAAGAUAGUAACACAUGUUGUUUCUUCCUCGCGUAACCAGCUCUAAUUAACCCCGGACAGAGCGACACUCGAGCUCGCGAUCAAAAACACCACACACACGACGACUCAGACUGACACAGGAACACGACGACACCGAAGAUAACUUGCUAACGAAGACGACGACGACGACACGGUAGAUAGAUCGAUAACUGGGAGAUUCGAGGCUCAGUUCCUCCACUGGCCGCCGGAGUCGCCGCCGCCACCGCCGCGCUGGCCGCCGUAGCCGCCACCACCGCCGUAGCCGCCGCCGCCGCCGUAGCCGCCGCCGCCACCGCGCUGGCCGCCGUAGCCGCCACCGCCCUGGCCGCCGUAGCCGCCGCCGCCGCCUCCGUAGCCGCCGCCGCCGCCGUAGCCUCCGCCACCGCCGCGCUGGCCGCCGUAGCCGCCGCCGCCGCCGCCCCCUCCGCCCGAGCGGCGGGACUGGGCCUCGUUGACGGUGAUGUUGCGCCCGUCGAGCUCCUUGCCGUUCAUCUCCUCGAUGGCCUGGCGCAUCGACUCCUCGCUGCCGAACGUGACGAAGCCGAACCCGCGGGACCUCCCCGUCUCGCGGUCGUUGAUGAUCUGCACGCACGCACGCACAGAACAAAACCCGCCAGACGCGGUCAGAUCCGCCACAGAAACCACCAGAUCGGGCCAGAUCUAGCGCCGACGACGCGAAAUUCGAACGGAUCUGGGAGGGGAAGGGGGGUUAGGGUUACCUUGGCGUCGAGGAUCUCGCCGUACUGGCUGAAGGCCUGCUGGAGGUUGUUGUCGUCGGUGGCCCAGGCGAGGCCGCCCACGAAGCAGCGGUACUCCGUCUCCGCCAUGGAUGGAUCUCCCUCUCCCUUCCUCUCUACGGAAACCCUAGACUAGGCUAGCUACUCUCGGACCCGAACCGAACCAGAACCCGAACCGGAAGGGGAGGAGAAGCCAACCCCGAGAGCGAUGAGGAGGACGCUGCCCCGCCGCGGGCACGCAUUUAUAGCGGCGGGCGGCCGCCCGGAUCGCAUCACGCGCGCGGCGGGGCCCACGCGUCAGCGAGGAUGGAUGCGGGCUCUCGGGAUUUGGAAUACGCGCACGCCUCGAAUCUUCUUUCCCAAGGCAGCACCAAGGAAAAAUCUGAAUUGCUUGCUUUUUCCUCCUAUAACAACUAGUAACCCUAGUAGGACAAUGAUGCAAAGAAAAAUUUGGGUUUGCUUUUUUCUUUCCUAUAAUAAUAACCGCAUCAAAUCUUUUUCUUUUUGAAGUUUAACCGCAUCAAAUCUUGAGAGAAUCAUUCAGGGGUAUAUAUGAGCUGCAACCCGAUCUUUCUAGAUGUGCGCACAAAUAAUUAAAAAUAAUGAAGCUGCAAGGUGAAAUUUAUAUUUUUCGAAAACCUCAUCGCCCCCUCCCGCCACCCCCCACACAGGGGGCAAAUCAAGAUCGAAACCUCCAUGCGUACGACACUCAUGUGCCUGAUUUCUGUCCCGCUAUCGGUCCAGUAGGUGUUGUGAUUUUGUUCUAAGUAAUGGAUUGUUGGGUGUGUACCAUUGGACACUAAUCGGACAAAGACCAUCGUAUGUGUAGCAGCGCUCAAUCCGAACUUGGGUUAUUAAGUGUUGUUCAAAUGGAUGUACCUUCGACAUGUAAAUACACUCGUGUGAGCGAUACUUAUUGUGGGAUGGAAGGAGCUCAUGAAAGCGUGGAGUGUACGCCUUGCUCGUUGGAGCCACCAUGUAACUCCAGUCAAAAUCAUCGGUUUGCUUCCUUGAUAGUGUGGAUGUGAAAUUUCUAGUGCGGAAAAUUAACAGUCAGUGAGGUAAUUCAAAACGUGUGUAGAUAGGCGCGCUCAUUGUACAUGCCUCGUUGAAAAGGCGUUUAGGACAUCGUUGUGGCAUCAAUUGCUUGCAUCUCACCCAUCGGCGUCAGGGCAGUGGAGAUGAAUGUGGCCCUAUGAUGUGAUGAUACCAAAAUUGCAUCGCCUUUUCUUUACAUUAUUUGGUCGUGUGGUGAACGUAGAGGCACAUAACCUAGACAGGAACGGGUGAAGAUUAUCUAUGGUCUCAACAUCCCAUUAUGUUCUUUUAGGAACAAGCAGGUAGAUGUUUUUUUUUGUGAGAAAACUUCUGAGCUAUUCAACAUGUCAUGGCAGUACAAAGAACACACACAAAAAAUGAAAAUUACAUCCAUGUCCAUAGACAUCCUAGUGGCGACUACAAGCACUGGAGCGAGAGCCGAAGGCGCGCCGUCGUCAUCACCCCUCCCUCACCGGAACUGGGGCGAACUUGUUGUAGUAGACAGUCAGAAAGUCGUCGUGUUAAGGCCCUAUAGGACUAGCGCACCAGAACAUCACCCGUUGCAGAUGAACUGAAGUAUAGAUCGAAAGAGUGCAACCUGUAGUCACAGGAAUGAAGACGAACAAAGGCUGGAUCAAAACGGAUCCACCAAGCACCGACCGAAUCCUGCAAGAUCCGACGGAGACACACCUCCACGCACCCUCCGACGACGCUAGACACAUCACCGGUGCGGGGCCCGGGCGGGGAGAGGCUCAGGGAGCCUCCACCAUCUCGUCUUCCCGAGCAGAACACAAACCCUAAACGGACUCAUAAAAACACCUAAAAUCGUAGGAAGAGCUCUCCCGCCAGCAAGGACUAAGGUCCACCACGCCUCCAUGGCCCUAGGUCCGCCUAAGACGAGGCGGGCCGGUGACGGCGCCGACGAGAGGUAGAGGAACCCUAAUUUCUUUCCUGGAGAGGAGGUGGAGGCGGCGGCUAUCUUCUUUUCUAACCCAGGAGAGGAAACUAGCAAGCAGGUACUCCCUCCGUUCGGAAUUACUUGUCUCGGAAAUGGAUGUAUCUAGAACUAAAAUACAUCUAGAUAAAUCCAUUUUCUGCGACAAGUAAUUCCGAACGGAGGGAGUAGAUGUUAUCGGUACAAAGUGCCUAAACUACUUAAACCAAUCUUCUUUGCGUUUCCCGUUCCUUAGAUACCAAUCUUCUUUAAACGCCCUGCGGACGUCAAAAUAGCAAAAUCUAGACGCAUAUGGGGAAAAAAUGGGCACAUGGCAUGCACAUGUGUCUACCAACUUAAUCGAAAGCAUGGUGGAGGGGCGAUGACGGCGGCGCGCCUUCGGCUCGCUUCAGUGCUGGUAGCUGUCGCUAGGUGGUCUACGGAUCUGGAUGUAAUUUUUAUUAUUUCUGGUAUUCGUUGUACUGCCAUGAUUGAAGAUGAAUAGAUCGGAAAUUUUCUCGCAAAAAAAAAAUUUGCUCAUAGCAUUUUCUUUUCCUUUUUUGAGAAACCAUAGCAAAAAAAAAAGAAAUUUAGGGGCACCAUAGCACUUUUGCUUUUUUUGGGAGCAAUUUUGCUGAAACCGGCACCUGCACAAACCGGCAGGCCAGGUCGGGGAGCGAACGUCGGGGGACUCGGAGCAGCGGGGCAGCAGGGCGCCGAUCCCUAGGCGCAGAGCACCGUGCCCCACGUGCGGUGGGCCCGGGGCACAGGCUGCCCCCGCACGCCCUCUCUCCCCUCGCCCCUAUCGCGGAGGCCCGGAGGAAAAACAAUAAUAAAUAGUAUCUCGGAGCGCGAAAUGACGGCCCUGCCCCUGCCUCCCCGUGAAACCCCCGCCCGUCCGUCCAGCCGGAACGGAACGGAACGGAACGGAGACCCUGCACGCGCGUCGGCGUCGCGGCCUCGUGACGAUGGGACGGGAUUUGGUUAACUAAUCAGCGGCGGGCAGGGCCCACCCACCUGCGGCUGCGGGCUGGAUGUAUUUGGAUCAGGCCGGUGAGGUGUCACUCGGCGUCGCUUUCGCGUGAUGGGACGGAACGGAACGGGACGGGACGGGCGGGUGCUCGCUUGAUGAUUAAAAUGAGUAGCACACGACGGGGAAUCCGUGUGCUGGAGAACAGUUUUGGAGGGAGCGUGCACAGUGAGUGAUGGAUCGAUGGGCGUGUGGAUCCCCAUCCGAUCCAAUCAAGGGCGACCGAAUCUUGUUCCAGCGGCUGCAGGGGAGGAUAACAUAUUGAUUCUUUUUUAUAUUAUAUUAUUAUACGGCGCAAAAGCUAAGCGAACAGAUGGUAUUGAUUCUUUUUUCUUUUGGAGGGAAAAGGGAAAAUGCGAGGCGAUAAUUACGAGGCAGUAAUAAGAGGAAGAGGAACAAGAAGCAAAAAGGAUUGAGAAAAUGGCAAAACAAAUGAGGUCCCACCGAGACUUGAACUCGGGUUACUGGAUUCAGAGUCCAAUGUCCUGACCACUAGACCAUGGGACCAUUUGAUGCACAGGAAAGAGAUUUUGUUUACUUAAAUCAAGUGUCGUCCAACCCCAUUAACUAAUUCCAAGUGCAGAACCCAGCGCCAUCGGUCCAAUUAGCUAACUGCGGGUCAAAACAGGAAGUUUAAACCCACUUAUCUGACUUAAAAGCUCUGCCGAUUCAGUCACGCAGCAAACGAUAUGUGGUUGGCUCUGCAGAUGUCUGGUUCGUCACUUGCUCUGCAGAUUGUAAUACUGAGGUUAUCUGCAUCAUCGGUAGAUUAAUGUGUGAACCAGUUAGUUAGCAACAAGCUUUGCAUGCAUUUUCCUUGUAUUGGGCACGGUAUCGUCCCUUCUUCUCGAUGCCAUCCACAUUCCAAGGUGUUACAACAUCAUAGGAGUUAAGGGCAUCUUCAAACAGACCCUCAAACCGCCUGUAUCCGUUCGGAUCACGCGCUACAGACGUGUUUUGCCAUCUAAAGGGGGAAUAUAUUGGUCCGCCGACCUGUCCGGAUGCAUUUUUUCCCGCAAUUUGAAGCAAAUUAGGGGGGCUUUGUAGGAGUCCGGACAACAGCUACANNNNNNNNNNNNNNNNNNNNNNNNNNNNNNNNNNNNNNNNNNNNNNNNNNNNNNNNNNNNNNNNNNNNNNNNNNNNNNNNNNNNNNNNNNNNNNNNNNNNNNNNNNNNNNNNNNNNNNNNNNNNNNNNNNNNNNNNNNNNNNNNNNNNNNNNNNNNNNNNNNNNNNNNNNNNNNNNNNNNNNNNNNNNNNNNNNNNNNNNNNNNNNNNNNNNNNNNNNNNNNNNNNNNNNNNNNNNNNNNNNNNNNNNNNNNNNNNNNNNNNNNNNNNNNNNNNNNNNNNNNNNNNNNNNNNNNNNNNNNNNNNNNNNNNNNNNNNNNNNNNNNNNNNNNNNNNNNNNNNNNNNNCUCCCGGACUCAUUCUCUUCCACUCCGCCCCUUCCCCCCUUACUUUGCAUUCGCCACUGUUGUACCUCUCUGGCCGCCACCCAGGCAUUGCCGGACACCCGCAACCACCACCCACGCGCCCGCUCACCUCAUACUAUGGGCGUCGUCCACCAAAGAUCCGUGCGCAGCCACAUACCCUCUCCCCCCCUGUUGGAUGGCGGGGGCGCUCGAGCAUGGAGGAUGAGUUGUUGUGCAAUGCGUGGUUGGCCAUAUCCACGGAAUUCAUAGGCAGGAGCAGAAGGGAGCGGAAUGCAUAAUUUGUUUCACACGCGGAAGCACAUUGCGUCAUACGAUAUGCACAUCAUUCAUGAAUGCAAUGUGUAGUCGUCAGUGUAUCGAUGUUACAUCAUCUAGACUGCCGUCGCCAAGUUUUGAGGCGCGGUUGAUCGGUUGGAGGCAAGGUGGCCAUUUGCGCGCAACAACCAUGGAUAUCGUAAGUUUUGCUUCUUCUUGCUCAACUUGUUAAUCCAUUCAUUCACUCAAUGUUGCUCUACACAUUGUGUAGAUAGUACGUGUUGUCGUGAUGUACCACGGGAUAAAGGGACGACCAUUUACACACAUACAUUGUUGCACGAAGCUCAAGGGGCAGUAUGUGUGGGAUGAUGUGAUCCGUUCAUGAAAAACUUGUUGAACAUCCGGUUAAUCUCAUUGAAUUUGAACUAUUGUUGUGCUAGACUUUUUUGCAUGCCAUGUAUGGAUGAUUUGUACUGUUUUUCUAUCCAAACUUUGAUGAAUUCCAUCAUUUUGAUGAGUUUUGUCCGAUUAGUUGAAAUGCGGUUUGAAAUGUAUGCGGAUAGCGGAUGGCCGGUUCCCGCGUCCGUGUCCGCAGACUGCCCCCCUAUUCACGGACGGAUGUGGUGUCCGGAUUGCAGGUCAGCGUUGAAGAUGCCCUAAUUGCCCAAAACUAUCACAUUUGUUGUUAAGUUUGGAGAAAACCAUGGUAGGGAUUUUAAUUCCCUAGACCUGUCGCAAUUUGACAUUGUCUCCGUCCUAAGGCGAGCAGAGAUACUGGUCUCCACUCCGGCAAUGUGUGAGAGAUAGUGAUCUCUCCUCCGUCCUCGGCUUGGUUGUCUUGACAUAACAGACGCUGUUCCUCUCAUCCUCCGUCUGGUGCGUCCCUACGGCCUCUACGCAUGCUGAUCCUCUUCGGCGUGGAGUUCACCUUCGACCCUAUCUUGUUGUUUUCUUUGGGGGCAGUUGUGUUUGGGUUUCUCUAGAUAGCAUCUACGUACUCGCUGCAUGCAUUUCUUGCAUGUAUCAAGUUUGUGUCUUUGUAUUCAACACCACUGUAUCCCCUAGUUAGUUGAUGGUUUCACUAAUUUGAAGUUGGACUAUAUGACUUUUCUCUAAAAAAAUCUUUUGAAGUUCCUAUCUGAACUUGCCCCUUGUCUACCUUGAUGACCAUUUUCACUUGAUUUCAUCCUCGCACGGGCUACCCUGAAGCCUUUCUUUCGAUGCAGACCCAUGAGAAUUAUCUAACCAAUACAGACAUAGAAAACAUAUUGUACGUAUUAGUUCAAUAAAUGAUUCAUAAUUUCUUACCAUACCACUCAAGCCCAUGUGGAUAACUUGCGCUUGUGAGUUGACCUCUAUAGUUUGAUCUUUCAUCUUUAUCUUUACUCCACGAUCAAAUUUGAUGUCUUGAAGGUCAUAUAGAUUUGCAUAUAACUCAUCACUGUUUCUAGUUGAUCUUGGGUGGUUCUCUACGAGAGAACCUCCGGAAUGUUGUUAGCUUCAAUAAGAGCCCAAGUUCAUCCAAAGCGGAGUUUGAUUGUGGAAAUUUGGCCAAAAUGAUAAAACACGUGCAACAAAUUUUGCACCAUUGGACAAUCCAGUCAGGUGCAUCGACGGAUUAGAAACCUUCCAUGAGGCCAGACAAUCUGGUCAUUUUGGACCAGACAGUCUGGCCAUUUUGGACCAGCCAGUCCGAGUGCAUAAAAAAAAAGUCCAAUAGGCAGAUUUGGGUAUGGAAUUUCCCAUUUCUUUUGCUCUUUGUUGAUCUUAAUAUUUUCAUCAUUUGAAAUCAAUGAUAUUGACGUAUAUCUUCAUCUUGAUGCCAUUCAUUCCAAAACAUCCAAUUUCCUUAUUGCAUCACACAUGAAACAUGUCGUCAUACAUAGGGGACGACAUAUAAUUGGAGAAAGAAGAAGACUAGUAUUAUCUUGAACACAUUUUUCUAGUGACUGUUCUGUGUCCAACAGUUUUUUCCAUUGCACUGGUUAUUGUUUUCCACGAUAAUUAUCAGAUCUAAAGAGUCGGUGUGUUUUCCUAAAAAACUGUUGCUUUACACGUCAUUGCAAAUACCUUAAUCUCCAGUGAGGAUAAUUAUCAUUGGCCUUUUCUCUAGACCCGAGUAAUGUCGUGUUGGGCUCGCACUUCUCCUUGGCCCCGGCAUGGACAACCCGGCCCGAAAGCCAGGCCGGGUUCGGGCUUAGCUUUUCCACCCGAAGCCUGGCCUGAAAGCCCGAAAAGGGCAUUAAUCACUAUUUUACUACAAAUGUAGGUAUAAUAAUAUAUCAUUUAAAUGUCCUGAAAUUAAUUGUUUUAAUUUAAAAAGAACACUGUUCAUGUGUUUCGGGCCGGGCCGGGCCGGGCUAGGGCUUGAGAUUUUGGGAACGAUCUAGACAAAGCCCGGCCCGACGAAUGCCCGGGUUUACUUUCCCUCAUGGCAAAGCAGGGAGACGUAUUUCCCCAAACCCGCCUUCCUACGAGUGCCGCUAACAACCACGCCCUCACUCACUGGCCACCUGAAACAGAAACAGAAACAGAAAGAUUCUCUCUUUCAAGUCCGGCCGGCGGCUAAACCCAAACCCCCGAGCCCGAUGUCGCCGGCGGCGACGCGCAUCCUGCUCGCGGGCGCCCGGCGCCGCGGCCGCGGCCUCUCCACGUCGGCCGAGCCCUCCCCCUCCCCCUCCCUGUCCCCCUCGCAGCUCCCGAGCGGCAAGCGCUGGGACGCGGUGGUGAUCGGCGGCGGCCACAACGGGCUCGCGGCCGCCGCCUACCUCGCGCGCGCCGGCCGCUCCGUCGCCGUGCUUGAGCGUCGGGGCGUCCUCGGCGGCGCCGCCGUGUCCGAGUCGGACCUCGUCCCCGGCUUCCGCUUCUCCCGCUGCAGCUACCUCCUCAGCCUCCUCCGCCCCGCCCUCAUCCGGUAAACCGUCGUCUCCCGAUCCCCUCCUCUCCCGGCGAUCGAUCUCAACCUCCAUUUCCGUCGGAUUUACUUACGAACCGGGCCCCUGUUCCGUACCUGAAUUCUGAAAUUCUGUGAGGAUGUAUGUACUGAAGAACUGAUACUGCUGCUACUGAUGAUGGAUGAUUCAGGGAGCUGGAGCUGGAGAGGCACGGGCUGAAGCUCCUGCCGCGGAGCCCGUCGUCGUUCACGCCGUGCCUCGACGGCCGGUACCUGCUCCUCGGCCCGGACGCGGAGCUGAACCGCUCCGAGAUCGGCAAGUUCUCCAAGAAAGAUGCAGAGGCAUACCCGAGGUGACUGACAGACAGACAGACAGACAGACACACCAAGAAUUCACUGUGGUUUCCUCUGCGCGUUUGAGCUUGGAUUGGUCUUUACACUAGCACUGGGUUUGAUGUGUGAGUGUAGGUACGAGGAGCAGCUAGAGAAGUUCUGCAAGCUCAUGGACUUCGUCAUAGACUCGCCUCCACCGGAGCUGAGGCAGCUGUACCAUGCCUCCAUGGUCGACAGGAUGAAGGAUAAGGUGGACAAGUCAGUGUUCUGGAGCAAGCUUCUUGGCCUUGUGAUGCAACAGGGGCAACAGGACAUGGUGUGAGUGCUAAAUACAUCACCCCUCUUAGUGAUGUUAUUGUUGCAGACAUUUGCGAACAAUGCAGUGUGUAAAGUUGAAUCUUUUUUACACUGGCAGGAACUUCUUCGACCUUCUUCUGUCGCCAGCGUCGAAGAUCUUGAAUAACUGGUUUGAGGUUGAAAGCUUGCUUCCCUCUUAUCUGAAACACUUCUCUUCUGUCUUCACAAUGAUCAUAUGGAGAAAGCUGUAUUGCAUUUGACUAUCUACACAUGUCGGAUGAGAAUAACUUCUUGAGUUCUUGUGCUGACCGCUCUAGUACUACAGGGUGAUGUAUUGAAGGCGACCCUGGCGACUGAUGCCGUGAUAGGUACUAUGGUAAGGGUGCAUUGCUUAAUCCACAUUUUGUUGCGCCUAAUGCAUUAGUGUUUGACCAUUGCGUCUCCUUGUAUAGGCUGGUGUGAACACUCCAGGAUCAGGAUAUGUUCUCCUGCACCACAUCAUGGGGGAAACUGGUGGUCAACGUGGUGUUUGGGCGUAUGCUUCUGACCAUAUCCAUGUUAUUCUGUUCCACCAUAAAACAGUGUAGUUAGCAAAAACCCAUAGGAUAAUGUAGCCUUGAUUGUUCUACGUACACUUGAAACGGAAUUAAGGAUUGCUGGUGUUUAUCUCCACUGGCUAGGAAACAACUUUUCAGUUGCCUUAGAGUCAGUUUCAAGGGGUGAUGUCACAGAAAAUGUCAUCACACUCUACCCAAAUUUGUUGGUGUUGCCACUUUUAGUUCUUUAUUUAGUUGGUGUCUUCUUUUACCUUUCUUUCUCUUUUUCAGAAAACCUUUCAUUAAUUUUUUUUUUUACACUUGCAGGUAUGUCGAAGGUGGUAUGGGUUCAGUCUCAUCAGCUAUAAGCAAAGCAGCCCUCGAAGCAGGCGUGCAAAUUGUAACAAAUGCUGAGGUGCAUUUUCUCUUCUUGUGCAAGCCCUCUUUGUUCCAUGUCGAUCAUGUUUGGCUGAACAAAUGAUUAAAAUCAAAGCAGAUCAGAAAAAAAACUGGGUUUUACAUUGAAGAAGUCAUUAAUUAUGUAGUCGCAUAAUUAUAAUUGUGCGACCAAUUUUUUAUUUGGCGUUUCUUGCCUGAUUUGCCCCAGUUUUUUUUGCAUAGGUUUCGCAAGUAAUGGUCGAUGAAAAUACUGGAAAGGUGCAAGGGGUAAGUCUUGGACUAAUCAGCAAGUGUAUGUGCACUGUGUAGUUCAUUUCUUUCUACCUCUUGAAGGUUUGAGAAUCUGUAGGUUGCUUUGGCUGAUGGAACCGAGUUGCACUCAUCAGUUGUGUUAUCAAAUGCCACACCAUAUAAAACAUUUGUGGUAAGAAUCACUCUGAAUAUGUAGCGGUGUGAAGAUUUUUAGCUCUAAUUUUGCAGGCAUAAUUAGAAAAUAUCCUCUAAAUUGACACCUGGUUUUAUUUGCAGGACCUUGUGCCAGCCAAUACUCUUCUAGAGGAGUUCCUCUGUGCCAUCAAGACAGCAGAUUAUAGCUCCGUAAGUACUUAGUUACUAGCUUAUUUAAAUAAAAGAAUUACAUUGGUGGUGUGCAUUCUUACAAAUAUACGAUGAUAACCUUGUUCAUUUACUUGUAUAGUCUAGCUAUUAUCCUCGCAUUUCAUUAGUAUGGAUGCCAAAAUUUUCUUAAGUAAAUAGAACUCGUGAUUGUGGGAAACAGACUAUUCAUAGCAAUGUUAUAUAGCAUCUGAAAAUUCUUACGUGCAAAGCUAUUUAUGGUCCACAUUGACUUUCAGUAACCAACUUGUAAUAUUGUUGCUAACUAUGCUCUCUGGAGAACAGGCAACAACGAAGAUCAACGUUGCUGUUAAUGCGCUGCCACAGUUUCGCUGUUGCAAAAACAUCAACCCUAAAGGUGGCCCGGAGCACAUGGGCACCAUACACAUUGGAUCUGAAAGGUAAUUAAGUUAGGGAAUAUUUCCUACUUUGGCACAUAUUUAUCAACUGUGUCCAUUGUUCUUCUGCAUAUCUGUGGACAAGCAACAAUCUACGAGACACUGUUUGUUAUCUUGGUCCUGUUCAUGUAUAGCAGGGCAAGGAAAAUAAUCUCUUAAUUCAACAUUGUCACUCUUCAAUAGGAAAUUCUGCUGUUUACAUUUAGUGUUCCUUGCUUGUCAUGUCAACCUGAUGCACCAACUUGGUAGCCUACAUCUAUGUUUCGAAGUAUAUGUUAUUGCUAGUACCUCAGGAUAAUAAAGAGCAUAGUCUGGCCAGGCUAAGCAGUCAUAAGAUGUCCGAGUUGUGGAUUAGUGUUUUCAUUCUUCGAAGGAAAAAGCUAGAUCAUCUGGCAAAUCAAUUCUUUGUGUGAGACGAUUUUUGUAUAAUUCAGCAGUCACUUUUUCAGACUUAAGCCUUGUUAUAUCUCAAUAUGGAACUUUUACUUGCUCUUCAGCAUGGAGGAAAUCGAUAUAGCAUACAAGGAAGCUGCAGGCGGCUUCUCAUCCACAAGGCCUGUUAUAGAAAUGACAAUUCCUUCAGUCUUAGAUAAGACCAUCUCUCCACCAGGUAUGUCACUUUCUUUUGCUUCCCCAUAAUUUCAUCUGAGUAAGUUUACUAUUCUGCAAUAUUUAAUUAUAAGGAACCUGUUCUAUGUACACUAAAUUUACAUUUUAGAGUUAAUGUGUUGAAGGUCAUUUUCGAUGUUUAUAAUGUUGUGAUCUUCCAUAUUGUGUAUAUACUUCACAUGGACUUAUGGACUGACUCGUAUUCCAUCUUUCACUUUAAUCCUUUGGAUAGGUCAGCAUGUUAUUAAUCUGUUUGUUCAGUACACACCCUACAAACUGUCAGAAGGCAGUUGGCAGGAUCCGGCUGUUCGAGUAAGUUGAUCCUUCUUACAUUUUGAUUUCAUGAUGCACUGUAUGUUUAAUCUUUGCCCAAACACAAAUGAAAUAUAUGAUAAAAUUGAUAACCUUGCCCUUGGGCAUUGUGAUCCAUCACUGUGUGGAGAGAAUGAUUUUUCUGAAAUUAGAUCCACCUACCGACCAUUGACCAUUUUGAUCGACACCAAUUUUCAGAAAUCAUUUGCUGAGAGAUGCUUUUCCUUGAUCGAUGAGUAUGCACCACACUUUAGCUCAUCAGUGAUAGGCUAUGACAUGCUGACUCCACCUGAUCUUGAAAGGGAGUUUGGCCUAACAGGUAAUAUCCCUUGGUAUUAUGUAUUUUCUUUUGUAAGCUGUGUGCCCGCAGACCGGAUACCGUUUCGUAUUGUUCCUUCUUACCAGUUGAAAAACUUAGCUAAGCAGAGACGAUUCACAUUUCUCAGGUGGCAACAUCUUUCACGGCGCGAUGGGCUUGGAUUCCCUCUUCCUAAUGAGGCCUGCCAAGGGAUGGUAUGUUGGAGUCACAUGCAUAUUAAGUUGUGCUCUGGCCUCUUCUACGACACAACCUUUGACCCUUCCAAGGUUCAAAACCUGUUCCGCUUUGUGAUAAUGGCUAACCUGUUUCGCUUUGCACCAUACAGGUCAGAUUACAGAACCCCUGUGAAGGGGCUGUACCUCUGCGGCAGUGGUGCGCACCCAGGCGGCGGGGUGAUGGGUGCCCCGGGCCGCAAUGCCGCUGCUGUGGUUUUGGAUGAUCUCAAGGCAAGAUAGAUGCAAUUAACGGAAGAUGGAAACGGCAGCUGACACUAGGGUAACAUUUUCAAGCACAAGGCUGCAUGCAAAAGCAGCACCAGUGUGUAAUCUCUUGUACCGAAAUGCGAACCUUGUCGUUAAGCCAUCUGGUAGAGACCAUUUUGUCAUGCAUACUUACAUGAUAAAAAAGAUGAGACAUGAGAAGCAUUUUUCUGAAUGAAUUGUUGCAGCUGUUCUCAUUUUGGCUCUCUUAUCAGAGGGCUCAAAGGGAUUAAUUCUCAGUUACGCGGUUACAUCAAUUUUCUUCGGUAUGAAGUAGUUUCUCAAUGCAGUCUGCCGAACCUUCAAUUUGGUUAAAUGUGAAGAGGAGUAGAGUUUGUGAAUCUAAGUCUUAAUAAGGCCUGAUUGGCGGUGUUUAAUAAUACAACGGACAUCCAUGAACUUCUCACCCUUCUUCAUGCAAUUGUCACCAUUUUCUUCUCUUCUGGCAAGAGGAAAUAAAACAUGCAAAUAGAAUGAUCUCAUGUUUUCGCAGCGCUUAUUGUAUGACGGAAGAGACUGUAACAGAAACCUGGCUCUUGAAUGAUUUGCUCAACACUCAUCGCAAGGACUUCUCGUUGUUCCUCAUGCGAUUGACAUUAGACUACUCACUGCAUGAAGUUUUCACUAUCUUUUCUUCUCUUCCUGCACGAGGAAACAAAACAUGGAAAUAUAAUGAUCACAUGAUUUUGCAGCCUGUACUCAUAUGAACACGCUUCUUGAAUGACUUGAUCAAUGCACUUAUUGCAUGCCUUGCUAACAAUGUUGCAUCGUUAAUGCCCUAUAUAUAUCCAGCUUAUAUCCAGCUGCCUUAGAAUCUGGGUGUCAAAGGUCCAGUGUUGUAUCGUUAGUAUGUCUGUUUUAGUGUCCGGUCUAUGGGAUACUCUGGAGUGAAAUAUUGGAGGAAAACAAAAUAUAAUGGUAUUUCCUGAUAUACUCCUGCAUUACCAAAAACCUUGGAUUCAUCAACCCCAACCUGGAUCACAGCCGCAUUCAUGUUCGCAAUGGAGCUCGCCUUCAGUCACUUCGCCGUCGCAGCGGCGACUGUUGUAUUCAGCAGCACCAUCUGGCAGCUCCGCCACACCCCAGCCUUCCUCCCGCUAAAGCGCCACACAAUCUAGGCAAUACACGCUGCACCGCAUUGGAAGAACCUCGCCUCUGCCCGGACAAAUGAGUAAAUUCUCACCAAUCGUCUUCGCCGGAGAGGCACGACACUCGGAGGAGCGUCUAGCACACACCACUGCGGGUCGGGCCUUCCUGGUGGGAGGCAGGGAGAUAAAAACAUCCGUGACAUCUUCUGCGAGCUUGUUCAGAUGUCCGUUCUCACUUUUUGUGGCUAAAUGCCCACCGUGAAGGUUGGCAAUAUGCUCACCAACUCGCAAAGCCAUGCCGGAGUAUCAGACUAGUUCGAGCUUAGCGACGGAGCAAACCUGUCAAGCUUCCGCAUAUAACAUCAAGGGGGAUCCACUUCCCUAUGAUCUGGUUGUACACAUAUCCGCAAUGACACUCAACCUUCUCCAAGCAUUCACGAGGGCAUUUAGUAUAUAGGGCAAGGAAAGUGAUCUUUUAAUUCAAUGGUGUCACUCUUCAAUAGCAAAUUAUACUGUUUACAUUUAGUGUUCCUUGCUUGUCAUGUCAAUUUGAUGCAGCGAUUUGUUAACUUAAAUCUAUGUGUUGAAGUAGUUAGUACCUUAGGAUAAUAAAGAUUAAAGAGCAUAGUCUUUCCAUGCUUAGUUAUAACAUGUCCAAGUAAUAGAUCAGCCUUUUCAUUCUUCCUAAGGAAAAAGCUACAUCAUGAUCUGGCCACUUAUUCUAUUGCGUGAGAUGAUUUUUGUAUAGUUGUGCAGUCACUUCUUCAGACCUAAUCCUUGUCACAUUUCAACAUGGAACUUUUACUUGCUCUUCGGCAUGGAGGAAAUCGAUGUAGCAAACAAGCAAGCUACAGGUGGGUGUCUCAUCCACAAGGCCUGUAAUAGAAAUGACAAUUCCUUCAGUCUUAGAUAAGACCAUCUCUCCACCAGGUAUGCCAUUUUUCUUUUGCUUCCCCAUAACUGAAAUUUUGUAAAUUUACUACCAUGUGAUAUUUAAUUUCACUACCCCGAUGAACCAAGAAAUGUGCAUGGAACCUGUUCUAUGUAACGUGCAGAGAGGUACUGCCGUGGCAGCAAGUACAAAAUUACAUAGGCACGGUGCAAUGUGCAGAGAGGUAGGAGCGCCACCACGAGAAGACGUCCUUCUUGUCUUGUGUUUCCACAAGACGAUGAGACCACAUGUCCAAAUCAGAAAUAAGGUUCCUAAGGGUGAUUACAGAGCUUUGAUCGAUAUUCCUAAACACCAUGUCAUUACGUGCUGCCCAAAUCUUCCAUAAUAAUGCCAUGAGGACCAAGGGCCAUGCUGUGGUAGAGAGAAGAGGACGUAGAUUGAUGUCCCAGAGCUCCGUGAUGUCGUCGGCUUGUGGCAAAAACCCAAGACGUUGCCAAAUCCUAUUGGCAAGAGGACAUGUGAUGAAAAGGUGGCUGGAGUCUUCAGGUAAUCUAGCACACCGGGGGCAUAUAUAUCUGAAGAGAUUAUAUGCUUGUGUGCAAGAUUGACCCUAGUAUUGAGACGGUCUUUGAAGAGUAGCCAGGCAAAGACUUUAAGCUUUCGAGGAGCCUUGGCGCUCCAAAUGAGGGGAGCAACGAGAUCGUUAUCUAGCCGAGCCAUGAGGGCACCGUACGCGUGCCUGGCGGUGAAGCAAAUGCCAUGUUGUAGGAACCGUUGAUCUUCUCCCGCCGAGGGCAUGAAGUCCUGCAAAAUAGCCAGAAGCGAAACAAGCUCUUGUUCUGCCAUGAGAGUGAGACGAUUACGGAGGUUAGCUCGGAUACUGAAACACCAAAUAUUAGCCACUUUAACCAGCUCUAGGGUGGAGUGUGAAAACAGGUGGGGGAAGGUGAUGGCAAGGGGUUGUGGGGUUAGCCAAGUGUCAAGCCAGAAAUAAGUAUGUGAGCCAUUGUUUGUUAGCACGAACGAGAUAGUUUGUAGGGUAGGGAUUUGUUGUGAAAUUGUGCGGCAAAGAAAGGAGGUUUGAGGGGAUGAUGAAACUAGGGCGUUGGGGUGUUGGAGAUCAAGCCACUCUAACCAAGGUGUCUGUGCGGAGGAGAGUGCUUUGGCGGCAAAUUUCAUGAGGAGGCAAUUGUUUUGGACCUGCAGGUUUUUAAGCCCUAAACCACCGAAUUUUUUUGGUAAGCAAACAUUUUUCCAUGCAAUAAGACAUUGAGCACCUGAGCAAGCAUCUUCCCCAGCCCAAAAAAACGCCCUUCUCAGAGAGUCAAUUGUUUUGAGUGCUUUCUUGGGGAUGCGAAAUAUUGACAUGAAAUAGGUGAGGAUUGAGUCCAGAACAACAGAAAUGAGGAUGAGCCGAUUGCCACCUCUUUGUUCAGUACACACCUUACACACUGUCGGAAGUCAGUUGGCAGGAUCCGAUCUUAGAGUAAGUUGAUCCGCCUUACGUUUUAGUCUAAUGAUGCACUGCGUGUUUAAUCUUUGCACUUCACCACAGCCCACACUUCUUCCUGUGUAUACUGCCUCGCAAAUAAUUUCUACUCAUACCUUAAAAGAGUAGACGACGAUGCCCUUGCCCUAAGGCAUUGUGAUCCGUCACUGUGCGGAGAGAACUAUUUCUCUGAAUUUGGGUCCACCUACCGAUCAUCGACCAUUUUGAUUGAUACCAAUUUUCAGAAAUCAUUUGCUAAAAGAUGAUUUUACUUGAUCGGUGAGUAUGCACCGCACUUCAGUUCAUCAGCGAUAGGCUAUGAUAUGCUGAGUUGCUGACCCACCUGAUCUUGAAAGGGAGUUUGGCCUAACAGGUAAUAUCUCUUCGUACUAUGUAUGCAUUUAUCUUUUGUAAGCCACACACACACACGCAGACCGGAUACCAUUAUGUAUCAUUCCUUCCUUUUACCAGUUGGAAUUUUUUAGCUAAAGGAGAGACGAUUCACAUUUCCCAGGUGGCAACACAUCUUUCACGGCGCGAUGGGCUUGGGUUCCCUCUUCCCGAUGAGGCCUGCCAAGGGACGGUAUGUUCGAGUCACAUGCAUAUUAAGUUGUGCUCUGGUCCCUUCUACUUCACAAACUUUGAUUCUUUUAAGGUUCAAAACUCAUGCCUUUGUGAUAAUGGCUGACCUGUUUCUCUUUGCACCAUAGAUGUCAGAAUGCAGAACCCUUGUGAAGUGGCUCUACCUCUGCGGUAGCGGUGCGCACCCAGGCGGCAGUGGGGUGAUGGGCACCCCGGGCCGCAACGCUGCUGCCAUGGUUUUGGAUGAUCUCUAGGCAAGAUAGAUGUAAUUCAUGGAAGUUGGCAGCUGGCACUAGAGUAGCAUUUUAAGCUCAAGGCUGAAAAAGCAAGAGUACCUGUGAUGUUGUAAUCUCUUGUAUCAGAAUGCGAGCCUUGUUGUUAAGCCAUCUGGUGGAGACACGUUUAUCAUGCAUACUUACAUGAUUGAAACGAGGAGUCGUGAGAAGCAUUUUCUGAUGCAGAGGCCGGGGGUCUUCCUCAUUUUCAAAAAAAGAAAAGAAAAGAAGAGAGAAGCAUUUUCUGAAUGAACUGCCUGUGUAGCUAUUCUCAUUUCGGUUUUCUUAUUGGAGCCGAUUACUCCCAGUUAUGUGCUUGCGUCUAUUUUUUCUUUAUCAGUAGAUUCUCCCAAACCUCCAGUUUGAUCAAUUAUGAAGAAGAUGAAAAGGAUGGUUGGGAAAAAACAACACGAAGGUUCCAACAAUCUGAUACAUGUUAAGAUUAAUGGCCGACUAGAUCAGAAUCGCGCCUUGGCGCGAGGGUGCCGGUCCAACGUUUUUGAGAAGCAGGUGAUGCUAAGUCAAUAGUAAUCCAGAUUUAGCAUAUGCAUUCACAUAAGAUAAGUCAGUAGUAAUCCACGUUUAGCAUAUGCAUGAUAACGAUGCAGUGAAGAAAAAACAUUCAACUGUUAUAGGAGCGAGACAUAGUGGUGCUCAAUAUCGGCAUGAGUCUAUAAGGCAAAAUCAAUUUCAAUGCGUUCAUAAGACCACUCGACAGAAAGUUCGAAACCAAUAGCGCACCCACUCAACAGGAAGUGCGGCUUGACGCACCCAACUUGACCCUGUCAUAUCCAGUCCACCAAAACAAUAACACAGAUGGGUAAAACACUAUUAAUAACGACUAUAACCACAAUGAGUCUGCCAUUGCAGGUAUAUACUUACACCACAACGAGCUUUACAUUGCAAUAUAUACACUUACACAUUGGCUGAUAACACGUUUUAGGGUGGACAGGUAAGGCGAGACUCGAUACAACUUACCAACCACUAUCAUUAUCACUUAUAGUCUCAAAAGUGGUAUGUUGAGCAAUAAAAAUGAACAACUCCUGUAGGGUAAAGGGCAAGCUUUGCUAAAGUCACUUCGUCUGGGUCAACCGCAAGGAUCCGAUGCUCAUAGCAAAUAAAACAGCAUGUGACAAUGAUAUUGUGGAGUUGUUUCAUGGGGAGCAAGUCCUUGAUGCUUCUUCCUGUAGUUUGUCAAGUAUUUCAGGAUGCUGCAGUUCCAAUUCCUUAUUUCAAACUACAAAACAGAACCACAAUGAAAAAAUGAUUAGCAAAUUGGUUCAAGAAUAUCGAACAAAAAUACCCACUUUCACUUUAGCUUAUCUUUGAUAUCUUGUUUUUUUUGUUUACCUAUGAUUUCUUUUGCAAGUCAGUCAUAUAAGAACAAAGAUAAAUCACAGAUGACAUAUACGACAAAAUAUUAUAGAAAUGUACAAAUAGUAACUGAUUGAAAGAGAAAGCUAGUUAAAACGCUUAAUUAGACUGAGCACAUACAUAACUGGAAGGGAAAUGAAUUUGCCUUAGACAAUGAAAUUUCAUUAUAAGAUGAAACAACACAAAAUAACUAUCUGGCUAAUGAUAAUUGUUUCACUCAUUUACCUGUUGAAAUAUCCCUAGUUGGAUUGUCUUGGAUCUUCCUGGGUUCUGCCAUUCGGAAAAGUGCAACAUGGACGGCCAGAAAACCAUAGUUGCACCCACACGUCGGUUGUAGUUCCUACAACGCGCGUACUUUGCAUCAGACAAACAAAUCUUGCUAAGAAUCGCACUGAACAUAGCCCUUGGCCUGACCGUGAUAGCAGUCAUCUCCUUCAAAAGGCAAAUGAAGUUAACAAAAUGCAAAGGCACACCCACAUGCUUGUAGUUGUAGGAGUAAUUCAGAGAGGAAGCAGUGCAUGUUUUCACUAAUUAUUUAUUCCCGAAUAUCAGACUAUAAUACUUGGUAUGGAACCAUUAACCAUUCAUGCAACGAAUACAUUAAUUGCAAAAUCAAACAUUUGCCUUUCUAACAUGGUGACCAGAUUACCUAUACUACAAUCAAAAGUAUGAUAUACUACGAUAGAUAUGCAUACACCUCAAUGUCUUACCACACAAUUAUACAUAAAAUUAACCAGUGAAAUGAGGCUAGGACCUAGCGGCUGUAGCAAGGGAUUCAAUCGAACAGACGUUGGGGCUAAACACUGGUCAUUGGGGUUGGUGAAUGGAACAGGCAGGUGAUUCCAACCAUUAACAAAGCUACUCCAAUCUUCUUAAUCACGACAACAUAUAAAGGCAGGAGGCUCACCUUGUUGUUGUAGGUUGGCGAUGAGGCAGUAGCUGCAAGAUCAGAGAGGCCGUUAGUUGGGGAGAGGAGGAGGCCGAAGCGAGCUCGUUCCGGUCGGUGGCAACGGGAUUUAUCUGGAAGGCAGCUCCUGGGCGCCUUGCACGGCGUAUCAAAGGCUGCUCACCUCGGGCCAUCCGGGCCAUCCUAGGAAGAGCAAAACUGCGCUGGCAUUAGUAUUCGUACCUUUGCUUGUUCAGAACUUUGGAUCAAAAUAUAAUUGCACCUGUCACAACAAUAUAACAUGAAUACACAUGUGCAUUUGUGUGUCUCAUAUAUUUGUUUAGAGCAGAACUUGUCACAGACACGCGCGCGCGCACACACGCACACACACACACACACACACAUUGGAAACAAUAGUAUUUAAUUUGGUGGCACUGAAAAUCAAGGAAAAUAGCGCUACUAACAGAGGCUAUAAAAUCAUUCCAAUGAAAAUCAAAAAGCUGGGACAGUCAUCAAAUUAUCAUGGCAUUGGCAUCUCACAAAGACAUGUCAUCUCAGCUUUCAAUCCAUAAGAAAAUCGAGAUUGAGAGAUAGACGGACAUGUACGUCAUCGGCAGUCACUUCAACGAGUUCUACAUGGAAGUUGUCUGUCUCUUCGGUGUGGCGGAGGUUGUGCCUCUCUUGCUGAGCACCAAUUGGCAUAAUAAGGUUCAUGAUGUUUGAACAAGUAAUACAGGUAGAUUUUGCAUAAUAUGGCAGCGCACCAUAUCUCACAAUUAGAAUACAUUAUAAUAUUGAAAACAGAAAAUGAAGUGACCAAUUAGACUACUCCAAUUUAGGUGACUACAUUCUAUAGUUUAAAUUCAAAAGUUAGGCUUCUCCCUAAAGCAUACACUCAAAUAGGGGGCAUUUAAAAAGAAUCUGGAUGAAACGUAUACAAAACUGCAUAGUUUUUUUUUCUGAAACGCAUAAAGGUUAUGUAGAAUAUCAAGUGAUCUAACCUUGAUUUAUAAACAAUGCAAGAAAAGCCUCUUUUACUUAGACCAUACAUAACAACGAGAGAUGGGAUGGUGACCGUGUAAAAUAAAUUACCGGCAGUGGAGAUCAGCGACAAUCGUGACUCGUCACCAUAAAAGCCAUAAGCCCUCCCACACUCAUCAUACAUAAAUAUACAAGAACAUAAGAAAAUAUAUUUUUUAGGAAAAAUGUUCAAAAAUACACAUUUUUUGCUUGUGAUGAUAUACAUGCAGCAGUUAAUGUAUUAUCCAUAAAACAAAGAAUGUAUGCCUCAUAUUAAUCAUCCUUUCACACAUAACUUAACAUGCAGCAAAAGGAUUUAAUCUAUAGUUCAAGAUCAAAAUGAAUGAGUCAUUUACAGUAAGGCAAUUAUUGAUUAUAAUGGAGUGUGAAGACAUCAUAUAUUUACUUGAUGGAAAUUGCAGUCAAGAAAAGCAUAGAAUGAGUCGAGUACCUUCUGGUUUGCCCAAUUUGCUUGUGGUCAUCAAAGGUGUUCUCGAGAUCAAACAACCAAGUAUGAACUCCCAAACUUCUGACCAAAUAGCAGGGUGUACACCUUAAACCACAGAGAAUAGAGAGCCGGCCCGUGUUAGAGAUUAUAUGAGAGGUAGGCAAAAAAGUAAUGGUCUUAAAAUAAAAUGAGGGAUGUCUCAGAUAUCUUUACCCUUGUCAGAAUCCAGUUUAGAACAUAGGGAAUAUUUAGGGAGCCUUGUUGCAGAAAUAUAGCAUGCCAUUUUCAAUCACCCAAUGUUUUUGAAGCUGAAACUGAACCGAUUGGCACUAUUGAUUUAUCACACUUCUCAGAGAUCAGAAUCCUUCCCAUGGCGCCUCAUUCCGACUGUACGCAUACCCAUGCCAAAUUAAUCACAUUUGUAGAACGGUGCUCCAAUGAUGUAAUCUGAGAAUUUGUACAAGACAAAAUUUUCUGAAUACAAGCAAGUGUAAGUCGGAUGAAAGUUUACACAUAAUUCAGUCCAAGGGUCUAUGUUGGGCGAGCAGGAGUCACAGCAGCGUGCAGCUUAGCCGCGUACAGCACGGCGGCUAAUCUGAUUGAAUGUGAACUGAUAUACAGAAUUUGUCUGAAUGCUACAUUGAUGUACAGAAUUUUGUGAUGUAAUCUGACUAAGUGUGAACUGAUAUAGUCCGUCUAUGUAAUCUGUCCAUGUAUGUUGCUGUCAAAUGUUAUCACUGACGAUCCAUAUGAACUUUGGGUACUGUUUACUUAACUCAUGGAGUGAAUCAGUUCAUUUUGCCAAUAAUUUUUGACAAGAACUCUUAUGGACAGAAGUUCAUCUUGCCAAUAAUUUGAAGCAACGAAAUGGGAGGUGGGGAGGAAGAGGGGAGGGCCGUACCAUUUCGGGCCUGAGGAAGACGGUCCUGCCGAGCAUGAUGAAGGAUCCGGACUCGUCGAGCGCGCGCGCAACGAAGGGCCCGUCGUCCGCGCCCGCGGCGUCGCAGCAGAGGCGCAGGAACUCGGCGUAGGGCACGGUGCCCUCGCGGGACGCCCGCACCCCCGCGCGCGCCGCCUCCAUCUGCGUGGCGCGCAGCACCUUCCGCGCCUCCUCCACCGUGAGGCUGCCCACCACCGCGGCGGCCUCCCUCUCCCUCGUCGGCUGGGUCUGGGGGCGGGCGGCACGAGGCCGUCGAGGUUGAUGCGCGGGAAGGAGACGCCGAGGUGGUCGCGGAUCCGGUCGGCCAGGGGCAUGAAUCCCACGUCCGGGGGCACCGCAGGGCGGAAGGCGGGGCGCUCCUGCAUGAAGCGGCGGGGCAUCCCGUAGGCCUGCUGCCGCGCUGCCGACGCCGCGAAGCGCUGNNNNNNNNNNNNNNNNNNNNNNNNNNNNNNNNNNNNNNNNNNNNNNNNNNNNNNNNNNNNNNNNNNNNNNNNNNNNNNNNNNNNNNNNNNNNNNNNNNNNNNNNNNNNNNNNNNNNNNNNNNNNNNNNNNNNNNNNNNNNNNNNNNNNNNNNNNNNNNNNNNNNNNNNNNNNNNNNNNNNNNNNNNNNNNNNNNNNNNNNNNNNNNNNNNNNNNNNNNNNNNNNNNNNNNNNNNNNNNNNNNNNNNNNNNNNNNNNNNNNNNNNNNNNNNNNNNNNNNNNNNNNNNNNNNNNNNNNNNNNNNNNNNNNNNNNNNNNNNNNNNNGUGGGUGGGGAGGAGGCCGGGCGGCGGCGGGGAGAAGACGUGGUGCGGGGUCGCGGGGAGGAGAGGAGGCAGGCGGCGACGCGCGAGAAAGGGAGCGAGGUGGCUAGGGUUUCACCACGGGCGUGGCUGCCUUUUAUACCCGUGCGAGUGAAAUGACGGAAAUGCCCCCGGCGGGGCAGGCUAUUUACGCGCGGUGGCACGAUCGAGGUGAAAUUGUUCAUUGCAACAGUAUUUUUUUUAUCCGACGGACGAGGUCAUUCCAGGGCUCGAUCCGACGGCUUCGAUUGCAUCAAGCAACCAGAUCCAACGGCCAGGAAGCCCAAAUCGCUGAGGAAGCGGGAGGAUGCUCGGCAUUCUUAUUUCUCGAUUCCAACAAUCUGAUACGUACAUGAAAAGGAUGGUUGGGAAAAAACAACACGAAGGUUGGAGACACAUUUGGACUACCAUCCAACAACGUGUGCUGCAUGGCUUGAAUAGGGGUAUUUAUACAACAGGCAUCCAUGAACCUCUCACCCUUCUUCAUGCAAUUGACAUUAACCUGCUCAUUUCAUGAGUUUUUUCACUCUUUUUCCUUCUCUUCCUGCAAGAGGAAACAAACACAUGCAAAUAGAAUGAUCACAUGAUUUUGCAGUGCGUACUCACAUGAUAAGAGAGAGAUAAUAGAACACUCCUUCAAUGACUUGCCAACACACUUGCCACAUGCUUAGCUAACCAAAACAACGUAUAGCCCUAUAUAUACUCACUUGCCUUAUGAAUUAGUAUGUCAAAGGUCCAAUGUUGUAUCGUUAGUAUUUUUUUCUUUUCUAUUUUGGUGUCUAGUCUAUGGGAUACCCUGAAAUGAAAUAUUGGGGGGAAACAAAAUAUAAUGGUAUUUCCCCAAUCAGCGCCAUGGUGCACGCCACCAACCAUGCCGCCCAUGCAGCGUCGACCGUUGUAUCCGGCGGUGCAGCCUUGCAGCCCGGCCGCGCCCCGUCCUUCCUCUGGCUCCGGCGCCUACACAAUCUGCGAUGUCUAUGCCAUGGAGCGGUCAGAGCAGCCCUCCGCUGCCUCGUGGCAGCAGAGACCUUGUGGGCGCCAGAUAUGUCAGCAAUCUCGCCACUGAAACUGGCGCCCUGUGUAGUGCUGGAAAGGAGGACCAUGGAGAGGUGGAAGGCGAAUAAGGCGCCGUAGCUGCCAGAGUACCAAGCGGCCAGGAGCUAGAGUCAACGGUGUUCGACGGAGUGGUUUGACACCUGGUGGAGCAUCCAAUGGACGCCGAAGCCGAUACUUCCUUGUUCUUUGGGGUGAUUACACCGAGAGAUUCAAGAGUUCAAUGGUAACAACAUCCCUGAGAAAACAUUUGUGACACACCUCACUCAGAUGUUGGUGAUCCUCACCUUUCACGGACAAAAUGACCGUCAUCAAGUCGGGAGAACGCUUGACAAUUCGCAGAGCUGAGUUUGGACCUCUUCGAGGUUAGGGAUGGUGUCAAUCUGUUGAGCUACCAAGCAGACAAGGAGGGUAUGCUGCCAUGUAGCGGAUCACGCAGUGGAACAUCGAUUUCACUAUAGUUGGGCUAACAUAUGUGUUGGACCACCUGGUUAUGUGAGUACUGAAUUCUCGACCCCCUCCUAAUAAGAAUGGGAAUGAUACGUGACCUUUCAGACUAGGACAUGUUUAGAAGAGAUUUUCACACCUCUAGGUCUUUUUGAACCUAUUGAAUGUCAACGUGAUAGUUUUUUUUUUGCGAGAUCAAUAGUAGUUUAUUCCACUAUAAGAUUGUGUUACAAUCCUUCGGCAAGAGAUCCUCAAUACAUGGGGUCCUGUGUCGAGACACACAACCGUAGCACGUUCAAAGCGAUUAUACCUUGCCAGACAAGCUGCAAUGCUAUUCUGAAAUCUAUGAAGUUUCUAGGGAAUACCUAUCGAUCAUAAGGGACUCGACUUCAGAUACUAAAUGACCAUAAAACGUGAUAGUUGAUAAACAAAUUGGUUAACUUACAUCUAUGCACUGAAGUAGGUAAUUAUGUUUUCUCUGGUGUCUUAUAGGAUAAUAAAGAGCAUAGUCUGGCCACACUAGGUGUGUGUUGGCGUCAUAUAACAUGCCUAUGGGAAUUGUGAGCGGUCACUUUGUGCAGAUUUUUCUUCUUCUGAAUUUGGGUCCAGCUACCAAUUGUUGUCCAUUUUGAUCGAAACCAAUUGUCAGAAAUCAUUUGCUGAAAGAUGCUUUUCCUUGGUCAAUGAGAAUGCACCACACUUCAGCGCAUCAAUUAUAGGCUGCACCUGAUCUUUCACGGCGCAAUGGGCUUGGAUUCUCUCUUCCUAAUGAGGCAUGCCAAGGGAUGGUAUUUUCCAGUCAUAUGCAUAUUUAGUUCUUCUUUGGCCACCGUUGACCCUUCUAAGGUUCAAAACUCAUGCCUCUGUGAUCAUGGCUAACCUGUUUUUAUUUUUGCACCAUACAGGUCAGAUUACAGAACCCCUGUGAAGAGUCUGUACCUUUGCGGCAAUGGUGCACACCCAGGCAGCGGGGUGAUGGGUGCCCCUGGUCGCAAUGCUGCUGCCAUGGUUUUGCAUGACCCAAAGGCAAGAUAAAUCUAGUUCAUGGGAAAUGGACAAUGGCAGCUGACACUAGGGUAUCACUAUCAAGCACAAGGUUGCAAAAACUGUGUAUAUUCACGUUGUAGUUGUUCCGCCGCUUGGGUUGUAGAUAGUUCUUUCAGAGUGCUGUCAUGUGGGGGUGUGUUUGUUUGUGUCCAAUGGUCAUUUGCACUCUGAAGGUAGCUCUUUAAGUGUGAUGUUUUCUCUGUGUGGGUGUGUGUGUAGUCCUUUUUGUGGUAACAAGGAGUCGAUUCAGCAUCUAUUCUUUCAUUACCCACUUGCCAAGCUAUUAUGGUGAUCUGUCCAUAUACUCCCUCCGGUCUUUUUUACUCUGCAUAUAAGAAUUGUCUAAAUCAAACUUCAUAAAGUUUGACCAUAUUAUAUGAAAAAAAUAUCAACAUAUACAUGCUAAAGUUAUACAAUAUGAAAAUUUAAGUCAUGACGCAUCUACUGACAUUGAUUUCACAUUGUGAAUGUUGGCAUUUUUUCUAUAAAGUUGGUGAAACUUUAUGAGGCUUGACUUCAGACAAAUCUUAUAUGCGAACUAAAAAGGACCGGAGGGAGUAACUUUUAAUCUACCUCCACCAACAAGUAGUACAAAUAUGUUCGGAAACUGGUUAGUUGGGGUACAUAUCCCAAGUUGAAGUCUCGGAUCCGUGUGAGAAUUUAUACUUUACGUUGGCACAUUUUGAACACACAUAAUGAUUGUAUUUUCAAUAGAACAGAGGAUCCAAACUUUUUGUAGGUUAUCUUCAAAGCCAUCAACUCGAGCCAUACGUCAUACGUGAUCAUUACUUUGCAGGAGGAGGAGCAGGCGCCCAUGUUCUUUGGAAGCAAUCAAUGAGAGAUGGUCACUUAGCAUUUGUUCAACCAAUUUGGUUGGUGGCCUAGUUGGAUUUUUGAUGCAUGAAGCUCAUUUUUCUUUGCCUUUUUCAUUGCCCUUGGAGCAGCCAUAUGGCAUUUGAUCAAUUGAACUUUACUGAACUCAAGUGAUGAACUUUGAAAUCAUUAGCAAAAGGUUGUGCCCAUCACUUGAUGUAGAGGCCGAAGGCGUCCCCUCUUUUCGAUAAAAAAAACAUCAACAAACACAUAAAGAGUCUCUUAAGCACAUGUAACUCUUCAAAAUUCAUGAUUUAUACGAAGAUAGACUAUUUGGCAUGCAAAAGGAAUCAUAUAUAUUGGUCAUGCAUCCAUACAUGCUAGGAUCUAAAGCUAGUAAGUACGUACAUAAAUAUGUUGAUUUGUGCCCCUUUUGCGUUCAAUUCUUGAGCAUACUUUCGAUUGCAUAGCCGUACUCUAUAUGAAAAUCCUUAGUGUUUGCAUGAAUUUCGUCCAGUUAGUUUGAACCAUGUUUGAAAUGUAUGUGGGCAGCAAUAGAUGGCUGCCUCCGGCAUCAGUGUCCGCGGACUGAUCUCCCUGUCCGCAGAUGGAUGCUGGAGCAAAUUACGGGUCAUCGUUGGAGAUACCCUAAGUACAUACAUAUAUAUAUGUUGUUUGUAUGACUGCAUGACAACACAGUGUUUCUGAAUAUUUGAACAGCCGACCACAUAGCGGCAUGUCCUGAACAAGCUAGGCCAGCUGAAUGGGAGUACGUAUAAGCUGAACAGCAUGGCUUCUCACUGUUCCUCAUGCGAUUGACACUCGACUACUCGUUUCAUGAAGUUUUCACUAUUUUGUCUUCUCUUCUUGCAAGAGGAAACAAAACAUGGAAAUAGAGUGAUCACAUGAUUUUGCAGCGUGUAUUCACAUGAUACAAGAGAGAAUAAAAUGGUGCUUGCAUGACUUGACGAAGACUUGACACUUUUACCUAACAAAACUACAUAUAUAGCCCUAUAUAUACCCUUCUUCCUUACGAAUUAGGAUGUCAAAAGUACAAUGUUGUAUCGUUAGUAUGUUUCCCUCUACUCUAGUGUCCAGUCUAUGGGAUACUCUGAAAUGGAAUAUAGGAGGGAAACAAAGUAAAGUAGUAUUUCCUUGUACACUCCUGCAUUGCCAAAAGCCCCAGAACCGUAAACCCCAGCCCGACCGCAGCUACAUUCCUGUCCGCAAUGACGCUCACCGCCAACCACGCUGCCGCCGCAACGUUAGCCGUUAUAACCAGCAGCGCCGCCUCGCAGCCCUGCCACGCCCCGUCCUUCCUCCUGCUCAAGCAUCACACAGUCUCCGUCACCCAUGCCCCGGAGCAUUUCGAGAGCCUAGCCGAAGAAGUUUGCGCAGUGUAUAGCAGACGCCACUACCGGCCAGGCUUUCAUGGAGGGAAGCAUGGAGAUGACAUCAUCCAUGUCACCUUGUGAGUCCUCCUUCGGAUGUUCAUGGUCCCAAGCUUCGGUGGCCAGAUUACAACCGUUAAGGUUGGGAGAAUGUUUGCUGGUUGGCAAAGUGAAGUCGGGGCGUCGAAGUAGUUCGAGCUUAGGGACCAAGAGAUGCCAAUGUCGAGGUCCGGUGGGACAACAUCAAGCAGACUGGACAACAUGAACGGGUUCUCCUUUACAGUUAUGUUAUUAUUGCACUGUGUUGACCCUCAAAAGUAGCACGAUUAUAAAGAGCCGCACGCUCUGACGGGGUCCCUUCCGGACAUGUGGGGUUUCAGGUUCUCAAAAGCGUCCGCCGGAUUGCUUGCGUACCGCGCUUUCGGACGGGUCUCCUUUGACGUGAGCUAUGGUGCAUCACCCCCGGCGUCGAGGGUACACAAGUGACGUGUUCAUAUGCGAACACACUGGUACAAAACUAGUACAUCAGCCAUUCAAUCCAAUGGAAAGGCUAUCAUUUGUCUUCAUCCAUCUAGCCACGGCGAGGCCUUCUUCCCCAGGACUUGGCGCAGCCAUUUUUGCCCUGAUCAACUCGAAGAACUCGGCCUCGAUGGUGGUGUGUACUCGACGCGCUUCGGCCAGGGCUUCCACUUGUAGCGCGCACUAGCCAGUUAUGUACGUUCGGGAAUUCGGAGUGAUAAUUAGCACAGCUAGCUGCUGCACUGGGUGGCGAGAGCUCCACGAGGUACGAGAGCGUAGCCGCCCCAAGAGGACGUGAUCGUGACGCUUGGGUCCGUCGGGUCGCAGAUGAGCAAGACGGUACAAGCGGGAGUUCUUUUUUUUUUGCGGGGAGGUACAAGCUGGAGUUUUAGUGCUUCUGGUCUACAAGGAAUUUCUCUGCACCCCUGAAUAUUGGGGAGUGCUGGCCAAUAGCUUUGGGUCCGUCCGGUCGGGUCAGAACGUGUCUAUGGCUCCUUUCAGAACUUCUUUAUACUCUAUUCCCUCGGUUCCAAAAUAUAAAAACGUUUUUAAAUUAUAUAAAAAUAUUUUAAAACAUUCUUAUAUUAUGGGGACGGAGGUCAGAGGGAGUACCUUUUUAGUGGAUUAUUAUAUACCAAACUGGGAUUGCACCACCCGAUUAUGUUGUCAGCCACUCUUCCCCGUUGAGAAACAGUCAAACAGAGCAGUGGCAUGCUGUUGCUGCCAUUUGAGGCGUUCUGGAACAGGAGCUCGAGUGAGAGAGUCAACAAGGGCGCGUUUGGUUGCACGCAUGCAGCCCAAUCAGGUCCGCGCGGGAUGUGCGCGGUCUGUUUGGUUGCCUGGGCUGCAUGCGGGUUGUGGCCUAAACUUAAAGCAGGCCGCAGCCUGGCCCGGCGGAAACUGCCGAAUCUGCAGUUUCUCGGGAGCCUGACUCGGCGCGGCCACGCAUGCGGGACGGUUGCACACCUCGAGCAGCGCAGGAGACGGAAGCGACGGCUCAUAAUUGUUGGUGAUCGUUACAGAAAUUAAAAAAAUUCUACGCAUCACCAAGAUCAAUCUAUGGAGAGACUAGCAACGAGAGAGAGGGGAGUGCAUCUUCAUACCCUUGAAGAUGGCGAAACGGAAGUGUUGCAAGAACGCGGAUGAAGGAGUCGUACUCGUAGCGAUUCAGAUCGCGAUGCAUUCCGAUCUAAGCGCCGAACAACGGCACCUCCGCGUUCAACACACGUGCAGCCCGGUGACGUCUCCCGCGCCUUGAUCCAGCAAGGAGGAGGGAGAGGUUGAGGAAGACAGCUCCAGCAACAGCACGACGGCGUGGUGGUGGUGGAGCAGCUGUUCUCCGGCAGGGCUUUGCCAAGCUCACACGAAGGAGGAGAGGUGUUGGGGAGGGGGAGGGAUGCGCCUUGGAUGUAGUGCGGCUGCCCUCCCUCUACCCGUCUAUUUAUAGGGUGAAGGGGGAAGGGGUCCGGCCCCUCUAGAUGAGAUCUAGAGGGGGGCGGCGGCCAAGGGGAGGGGGCUUGCCCCCCAAGCCAAGGGGGGCGCCCCCUUUAGGCCCCCCCACCCUAGGCGCAUGGGCCCUAGGGGGGAUGGCGCCCAACCCACUUAGGGGCUGGUUCCCUUCCACAUACAACCCAUAAGGCCCUACGGGGCAGGUGGACCCUCCCAGUGGACCCCCAGAACCCCUCCGGUGGUCCCGGUACAAUACCGAUAUACCCCCAAAUACUUCCGGUGACCGUAUGAUGACUUCCCAUAUAUAAAUCUUCACCUCCGGACCAUUCCGGAACUCCUCGUAACGUCCAGGAUCUCAUCCGAGACUCCGAACAACAUUCGGUAAUCACAUACAAAUCUUCCCUAUAACCCUAGCAUCAUCGAACCUUAAGUGUGUAGACCCUACGGGUUCGGGAAUCAUGCAGACAUGACCGAGACAGCUCUCCGGUCAAUAACCAACAGCGGGAUAUGGAUAUCCAUGUUGGCUCCCACAUGUUCCACAAUGAUCUCAUCAGAUAAACCACGAUGUCGAGGAUUCAAGCAAUCCCGUAUACAAUUCCCUUUGUCAAUUGUUACGUUACUUGCUCGAGAUUCGAUCGUCGGUAUCCCAAUACCUCGUUCAAUCUCAUUACCGGCAAGUCACUUUACUCGUUCCGUAAUGCAUGAUCCCGUGACCAACUACUUAGUCACAUUGAGCUCAUUAUGAUGAUGCAUUACCGAGUGGGCCCAGAGAUACCUCUCCGUCAUACGGAGUGACAAAUCCCAGUCUCGAUUCGUGCCAACCCAACGGACACUUUCGAAGAUACCUGUAGUGCACCUUUAUAGUCACCCAGCUACGUUGUGACGUUUGGUACACCCAAAGCACUCCUACGGUAUCCGGGAGUUACACAAUCUCAUGGUCUAAGGAAAUGAUACUUGACAUUAGAAUAGUUUUAGCAAACGAACUACACGAUCUUGUGCUAUGCUUAGGAUUGGGUCUUGUCCAUCACAUCAUUCUCCUAAUGAUGUGAUCCCGUUAUCAAUGACAUCCAAUGUCCAUAGUCAGGAAACCAUGACCAUCUGUUGAUCAACGAGCUAGUCAACUAAAGGCUCACUAGGGACAUGUUGUGGUCUAUGUAUUCACACAUGUAUUACGGUUUCCGGUUAAUACAAUUAUAGCAUGAACAAUAGACAACUAUCAUGAACAAGGAAAUAUAAUAAUAACCAUUUUAUUAUUGCCUCUAGGGCAUAUUUCCAAUAGUCUACCACUUGCACUAGAGUCAAUAAUCUAGUUACACUGUGAUGAAUCGAACACCCAUAGAGUUCUAGUGUUGAUCAUGUUUUGCUCACGGAAGAGGUUUAGUCAAUGGAUCUGCGACAUUCAGAUCCGUAUGCACUUUGCAAAUAUCUAUGUCUCCAUCUUGAACAUUUUCACGAAUGGAGUUGAAACGAUGCUUGAUGUGCCUGGUCUUCUUGUGAAACCUGGGCUCCUUGGUAAGGGCAAUAGCUCCAGUGUUGUCACAGAAAAAAGUCAUCAGGCCUGACACAUUGGGAAUAACUCCUAGGUCGGUAAUGAACUCCUUCAUUCAGAUUGCUUCAUGCGCUGCCUCUGAGGCUGCCAUGUACUCCGCUUUACAUGUAUAUCCCGCCACGACGCUUUGCUUGCUACUGCACUAGCUUACUGCCCCACCAUUCAAAAUAUACACGUAUCCGGUCUGUGACUUGGAGUCAUCCAGAUCCGCGUCGAAGCUAGCAUCGACGUAACCCUUUACUACGAGCUCUUCGUCACCUCCAUAAACGAGAAACAUAUCCUUAGUCCUUUUCAGGUACUUCAGGAUAUUCUUGACCGCUGUCCAGUGUUCCAUGCCGGGAUUACUUUGGUACCUUGCUACCAAACUUACGGCAAGGUUUACAUUAGGUCUGGUAUACAUCAUGGCAUACAUAAUAGACCCUAUGGCCGAGGCAUAGGGGAUGACACUCAUCUUUUAUCUAUCUUCUGCCGUGGUCGGGCAUUGAGCCGAGCUCAAUUUCACACCUUGCAAUAUAGGCCAGAACCCCUUCUUGGACUGAUCCAUAUUGAACUUCCUCAAUAUCUUAUCAAGGUAUGUGCUUUAUGAAAGACCUAUGAGGCGUCUCGAUCUAUCUCUAUAGAUCUUGAUGCCUAAUAUGUAAGCAGCUUCUCCAAGGUCCUUUAUUGAAAAACACUUAUUCAAGUAGGCCUUUAUGCUGUCCAAAAGUUCUAUAUCAUUUCCCAUCAAUAGUAUGUCAUCCACAUAUAAAAUGAGAAAUGCUACAGAGCUCCCACUCACUUUCUUGUAAACGCAGGCUUCUCCAUAAGUCUGCAUAAACCCAAACGCUUUGAUCAUUUCAUCAAAGCGAAUGUUCCAACUCCGAGAUGCUUGCACCAGCCCAUAGAUGGAGCGUUGGAGCUUGCAUACCUUGUUAGCAUUCUUAGGAUCGACAAAACCUUCCGGCUGCAUCAUAUACAAUUCUUCCUCAAGAAAGCCGUUAAGGAAUGCCGUUUUGACGUCCAUUUUCCAUAUCUCAAAAUCAUAGAAUACAACACUUGCUAACAUGAUUCGGACGGACUUCAGCUUUGCUACGGGAGAGAAGGUCUCAUCAUAGUCAACCCCUUGAACUUGUCGGUAACCUUUGGCGACAAGUCGAUCUUUAUAGAUGGUAACAUUACCAUCCGCGUCCGUCUUCUUCUUAAAGAUCCAUUUAUUUUCUAUCGCUCGCCGAUCAUCGGGCAAGUCUGUCAAAGUCCAUACUUUGUUUUCAUACAUGGAUCCUAUCUCGGAUUGCAUGGCUUCAAGCCAUUUGUUGGAAUAUGGGCCCGCCAUCGCUUCUUCAUAGUUCGAAGGUUCACCGUUGUCUAACAACAUGAUUUCCAGGACAGGGUUGCCAUACCAUUCUGGUGUGGAACAUGUCCUUGUGGACCUACGAAGUUCAGUAGCAACUUGAUCCGAAGUACCUUGAUCAUCAUCAUUAACUUCCUCUCUAGUCGGUGCAGACACCACAGAAACAUCUUCCUGAGCUACGCUACUUUCCGGUUCAAGAGGUAGUACUUCAUCGAGUUCUACUUUCCUCCCACUUACUUCUUUCGAGAGAAACUCUUUCUCCAGAAAGGACCCAUUCUUGGCAACAAAGAUCUUGCCUUCGGAUCUAAGAUAGAAGGUAUACCCAAUGGUUUCCUUAGGGUAUCCUAUGAAGACGCAUUUUUCUGACUUGGGUUCGUGCUUUUCAGGUUGAAGUUUCUUGACAUAAGCAUUGCAUCCCCAAACUUUUAGAAACGGUAGCUUAGGUUUCUUUCCAUACCAUAAUUCAUAUGGUGUCGUCUCAACGGAUUUAGAUGGUUCCCUAUUUAAAGUGAAUGUAGCUGUCUCUAAAGCGUAUCCCCAAAAUGAUAGCGGUAAAUCGGUAAGAGACAUCAUAGAUCGCACCAUAUCCAAUAGAAUGUGAUUACGAUGUUCGGAUACACCGUUACGUUGAGGUGUUCCAGGCAGCGUGAGUUGUGAAACAAUUCCACAUUUCCUUAAGUGUGUACCAAACUGAUGACUCAAAUAUUCUCCCCCACGAUCUGAUCGUAAGAACUUUAUUUUUCUGUCACGUUGAUUCUCUACCUCAUUCUGAAAUUCCUUGAACUUUUCAAAGGUCUCAGACUUGUGUUUCAUUAAGUAGACAUACCCAUAUCUACUUAAGUCAUCAGUGAGGGUGAGAACAUAACGAUAGCCACCGCGAGCCUCGACGCUCAUUGGACCGCACACAUCAGUAUGUAUGAUUUCCAAUAAGUUGGUUGCUCGCUCCAUUUUUUCGGAGAACGGAGUCUUGGUCAUUUUGCCCAUGAGGCAUGGUUCGCAUGUGUCAAAUGAUUCGUAAUCAAGAGACUCCAAAAGUUUAUCUGCAUGGAGCUUCUUCAUGCGUUUAACACCAAUGUGACCAAGGCAUUAGUGCCACAAGUAUGUGGGACUAUAAUUAUCAAUCUUACAUAUUUUGGUAUUCACACUAUGAAUAUGUGUAACAUCACGUUCAAGAUUCACUAAGAAUAAACCAUUGACCAGCGGGGCAUGACCAUAAAACAUAUCUCUCAUAUAAAUAGAACAACCAUUAUUCUCGGAUUUAAAUGAGUAGCCAUCUCGCAUUAAACGAGAUCCAGAUACAAUGUUCAUGCUCAAAGUUGGCACUAAAUAACAAUUAUUGACGUUUAAAACUAAUCCCGUAGGUAAAUGCAGAGGUAGCGUGCCAGCGGCGAUCACAUCGACCUUGGAACCAUUCUCGACGCACAAUGUCACCUCGUCCUUCGCCAGCCUCCGCUUAUUCUGCAACUCCUGUUUUGAGUUACAAAUAUGAGCAACCUCACCGGUAUCAAAUACCCAGGAGCUACUACGAGUACUGAUAAGGUACACAUCAAUAACAUGUAUAUUACAUAUACCUUUGGUGUUGCCGGCCUUCUUGUCCGCUAAGUACUUGGGGCAGUUCCGCUUCCAGUGACCGUUUCCCUUGCAAUAAAAGCACUCAGUCUCAGGUUUGGGUCCAUGCUUUGGCUUCUUCAUAGCAACUGGCUUACCGGGCGCGGAAACUCCCUUGUCGUCCUUCUUGAAGUUUUUCUUACCCUUGCCUUUCUUGAAACUAGUGGUUGUAUUGACCAUCAACACUUGAUGUUCCUUUUUGAUCUCCACCUCCACUGAUUUCAGCAUUGAAAAUACCUCAGGAAUGGUUUUCACCAUCCCCUGCAUAUUGUAAUUCAUCACAAAGCUCUUGUAGCUAGGUGGGAGCGGCUGAAGGAUUCUGUCAAUGACCGCGUCACCCGGGAGAUUAACUCCUAGUUGAGACAAGCGGUUGUGCAGCCCAGACAUUUUGAGUAUGUGCUCGCUGACAGAACUAUUCUCUUCCAUCUUACAACUGUAGAACUUGUCGGAGACUUCAUAUCUCUCGACCCGGGCAUGAGCUUGGAAAACCAUUUUCAGCUCUUGGAACAUCUCAUAUGCUCCGUGCUGCUCAAAACGCUUUUGAAGCCCCGGUUCUAAGCUGUAAAGUAUGCCGCACUGAACCAGGGAGUAAUCAUCACUAUGUGAUUGCCAGGCAUUCACUACAAGAAAUAUGUCAACUAGUGACCUUCUGUCAGUGACCCUGGAAGAAUUGGUCAUAGAUCUAUGACCAUUUCAGACCAAUUGGUCAAAAGCUGUUCGGGGGGCUCCAAACCCUAAACCAUUGCGACCAUUUUGGUCAGAAAGGUCAUAAUUUUCUUACACGAAAUGGUCACAAAGAAAACAGGGCUGGUCCGCUGCCUUAUUUCUAGUUGUUAACGACCAAUAUAGAUGGUCAUAGCCUUGUAGAUUGUGGUGGGUUGUGAUGACUAGGCGCCAUCUCAUCAGUUUUGCCUAUGUGUCAUGUCCAUGUGUCAAUUUUUGCCCUAGGUUGUGAAGCAACCUAUAUUUCUGUUAUUCCAAAAAUUCCCAAAUAAUUCUCAUAAAUUUUUGGAUCAUAUCUUCAUCAAAUAUUUCAAAAACCUUCCUUGCCUAGUUCAAAAAUAACUCAACAAUAUUCAUUUCCCUAUUUUGUUCAGAGCAGCAGUUUGUGAAGGAAGUACCACUUUGGCAUGUCCAAAUAGUAUCCAUUUUCUACAGUGCUUUCCUAUGCCCAAAUAACCAUCCUCCACCAAAUGCCAGCUCAAUCCAUUCAUUAUUUUGAGCUGAGCUUCAACGUUUGUAGUUAUGUCCAGUGUGGUAGUUUGCAAAGCAAGUACAACCUAGGCUCCUCCUUUUGAGGUGAAAAUUUGUGAAGACGGUCUUCUUAGUAACUGAUCAUCCUCAGCCAAAACUCACACCCAUUAGCCAUGUACAUUUCCCGUACCGCUAAUCAAACACUUGGCUGCUAAUUCAUGUUUGAGCAUCGAUCGGUCUCCUCGUGAGAAUGUUAUGUUGUAAUUUUCUUCCUAGCACCUACCUGGGGAGUGCCCAACCCACUAUACAUGCCUAGGCUGCCCAGAACACAUGGCAACGCCACGAUCACGCGGUGACCACGCGACGGGCAUGCGAGCUUACGCGCUCUAGAGUUGGGGCCCUCGGCCACCGUCCAAACCUCGAUGUCUCGCCAUCAAACCAUGUAUUUCUGAUUAAAUAGAUAUUUAUUUACCUAUAAAUGAUUUUUGGAAAAAAUAAAUAGCAAACUAUGAGGUAGCUGCAGUUCAAAUUUGACCUGCUUCCAACUAAAUUGACGGGAAUUUGUCUUUUUCACCAGAGGUGGAUCAAAACUUUUGACACCCAACCAUUUUGUCAAUUGUGCAUUAAAUAUGUCCUAGUAUUUUAUAAAAUUGAUUAGGUCCAAUUUUGCAACAAAUAUAUGGUAGGUCCUUCACAAAAAAACUCAUUUCAGGCACUCAGAAAAUGGAAAAUGGUUUUUUCAUCCAAAGAAAAUGAAAACUUCCUUAGGAAACAUUGUUUGCCAUUCCAAUAUGCACCCUUGUGCACAAUAUGAGAUCAUUUGAACAAACUAUGCCAUCAAUGUGGCCAUAAGAUUGAUCAUUUGUCUUGAAAGCCGUGAAUCUUCGGAGAUGAUAGCUCAUUUCUGAGAACACUUUUUAAAAAUAAUUGCCGUAUUACAAUUUUGUUAUUUUUCCUGGGAACUUGGCCACAUAUAAUGACACAAUGCGAAGGUUUCCCAAUUUUUUGAUUUUUUUUGAAUUUUUUAUGCCCGUUUCAAAAUGCGGUCAAAACGGCGGGAAUGACCGUUCCUAGCUAGUGGUUGAAUCUUGGAAUUUUUUUGGUGUUUCUCUGAUUAAAUAGGUACUUAUGUAACUAGAAAUGAUUUUUGGAAAAAAUAAAUGGCAAACUAUGAGGCAGCUGCAGUUCAAAUUUGACCCGUUUCCACCUGAAUCGGCGGGAAUUUAUCUUUUUCACGAGAGGUGGAUCAAAACUUUUUGCACCCAACCAUUUUUUCAGUUGUGCAUUAAAUAUGUCCUAGUAUUUUAUAAAAUUGAUUUGGUCCAAUUUUGCAAUAAUUAUUUGGGAGGUCCUUCACAAAAAAAACCUGCUUUCGGGCGCUCGGAAAAUGGAAAAUGAAUUUUCCGUGCAAAGAAAAUGAAAACUCCCUUAGGCAACAUUGUUUGGAAUUCCAAUAUGCACCCUUGUGCAUAAUAUUAGAUCAUUUGAACAAACUAUGCCAUGAAUGUGGCCAUAAGAUUGAUCAUUUGGCUUGAAAGCCAUGAAUCUUCACGUAUGAUAGCUCAUUUCUGAGAACACUUUUUUUAAAAUAAUUGCCGUAUUACAAGUUUCUUAUUUUUCCUGGGAACUUGUCCACAUAUAAUGACACAAUGCGAAGGUUUCCCAAUUUUUUUGAUUUUUUUUGAAUUUUUAUGCCCGUUUCAAAAUGCGGUCAAAACGGCGGGAAUGACCGUUCCUAGCUAGUGGUUGAAUCUUGGAAAUUUUUUGGUGUUUCUCUGACUAAAUAGAUACUUUUGUACCUAAAAAUGAUUUUUUGAAAAAAUAAAGAGCAAACUAUGAGGCAACUGCAGUUCAAAUUUGACCCGCUUCCACCUGAACCGACAGAAAUUUGUCUUUUUCACGAGAGGUGGAUGGAAAUUUUUGACAUCCAACCAUUUGGUCAAUUGUGCAUUAAAUACGGCCUAAUAUUUUAGAAAAUUGAUUUGGUGCAAUUUUGCAACAAUUAUUUGGUUGGUUCUUCACAAAAAAACAUUUUUGCCACUCAAAAAUGAUUAAAAAUAGCUAGAAAUAUGAAAAAUGCAUAUAAAUUGGUCCUAAUACAUAAAAUAUGGUCUAACUCUAGUGAAAGUUUGUGUGGUGCCCUUUGCAAAAAAAUGGUAGCUACUUCAUAAAAUCCCUCUAUUUUUAGUAUUUGAAAACUAUUUUACAUCACUGAUUUUCUGAACCAAUCAUAACUCUGUCCACGGAUCGAUGACAUGGCGUCCAUCCAUCCAUCCAUCCAUCUCUCCAUCUCACAUCCAUCCAUCCAUCUAUCUACAAAAAAGAAAAAAAAAGUAAAGAAAAGGAGAUACCCCCACCCGCAGCCCAAACCCUAGCUCAGAUCCCCCCGUCGCCCGCUUCCUCCCUCGUCCCCACCUCCUCGCCGCCGCCCCUCCCCGAUCUCGAUCUGCCGCCGCCCCCAUCGCCCCCGCCGCCCUCUACUCNNNNNNNNNNNNNNNNNNNNNNNNNNNNNNNNNNNNNNNNNNNNNNNNNNNNNNNNNNNNNNNNNNNNNNNNNNNNNNNNNNNNNNNNNNNNNNNNNNNNNNNNNNNNNNNNNNNNNNNNNNNNNNNNNNNNNNNNNNNNNNNNNNNNNNNNNNNNNNNNNNNNNNNNNNNNNNNNNNNNNNNNNNNNNNNNNNNNNNNNNNNNNNNNNNNNNNNNNNNNNNNNNNNNNNNNNNNNNNNNNNNNNNNNNNNNNNNNNACCUCCUCCACGGCCACCUCCUCCCGCUGGCGACCGCAUCCACUCCGCCGCCGGCGCCACCUCCCCUCCCUGGCUAGAGGUCCCCUCCCCUCCAAGGGCCCGCUGCCGAUGAAGUCCGGCAAGGCCGGCUUCGAGGGCCCGCAGGAGGCGCAGCACCGCAUCCGCAUCACCCGCAGGAGGCGCAGCACCGCAUCUGCAUCACCCGCAGGAGGCACAACACCGCAUCUCGCCAACUCGCUCAGCGCCGACGAGGCGACGCGGCACCCCGCGGAGUAGGCCCUCUCCUCUGUUACCAUCCCGUCCUUCCCCUUUCCUCUGUCUCUCUCUCCCUCACGCAUCUUCCGUCUCUCUUAGGUACAUCUACAACAGCCCCGCCAUGGAUCCGGGAGAUGAAGGGUGAGGUGGACGCCAUCGCCCGGUGCCGGCUGCUGCCGCCGUUGGCGCGCAGCGUCCGGCGUGUGGCGGCGGUGGCUGCGCUAGCGUCGGAGGAGGCCGCGCGGCAGGGAUGGUGCUGGGCGGAGCUGCCGCCGGAGCUCCUGCAGGAGGUGCUGGCACGGGUCGAGUCAUUGGAGCCGCGGUGGCCGUGCUGCCGCGACGUGGUGGCGUGCGCCGGCAUCUGCCAGACCUGGAGGGGCGUCGUUCGGGAGAUCGUCCGUGUUCCCGAGGUGUCCGGGCAUCUCACCUUCCCCAUCUUUCUCAAGCAGGUAGUCGCUCCUGGCAACUCCGAAUCCCUCUCUCGUUCGCUGGCUCCCUGGUCAACAUCCAUGUUGUUGUUCAUUCAGCUGUCACUCCAUGGUAGCCCGGUGUUUAUAUUAAGUUCUUAGAUUAGUCACCAAAGUUUUUCUCUGUUGAUGAGAUUAUCUAUUACUAUCUACUAGUAAUUCAAGAGCAAUUAGUUGAUGAAACGUCUAUUUUUGGCAUACUUCAAUUAUGGCGAUUGUGUUCAGCUUGACUAAUUCUUUUGUGGGGCAUCGAACACUGGCAUCUACUAGUAGUGUUUUUCUUCUCUAUUAACUAGUUAUCUAUGCAUACCUUAUUCUAAAGUGUGGAGUGUCAACUAUUUCAGCAGCAUCACAUAUUGCAAGUAACCUCUUUCUGUUUAUGGAGUGUAAACAAAAUAAGAGCCCACAUACACUUGCAUUUUUUCUGAACAUUUAGCCCGUCCUGUUUAGUCGAAGGUUUUCCCUAGUAGUGAUAACUCCCCCCCACUCUCCUGUCACCGCCCAGCGCACUGUUCCCACCGCUUCCUCUCUGCCUCACCGCCUCUCCGUCUCCUCCCCUCCAAUGGCUCCACCUCACCCACCGCCGCGCCGCCCAUUGACCCUCGUCGAUCAGCGCAUCGCCAGCAUCCAGGAGCGCUGGCUGGCCGGGCUCCAGAACUAGGGCAGGGACCUGGAGUCGGCGUUGUGAGCGCUGUCCACCAUCUGCUGAUGUCCACCAUGAGAGCCGGCCAAUGCGGCGUCGAUCGUUCCUGCUCCGUCGCUGAUUCUGGACCUCGUCCUCCUUGGCUCGGUGCCGGCGCCGUCCACGGAGCUGACGCUUCUUGGGACCCCAUUUGGCAGGGGAGUUUCUUGACCCCCGUCCAAUGGUUUUCUCCUGUUGGCGCGUCGUCCUCAUCGACCUCCGGCGUGGCCAUGAGCACGGGGCCAAUGCCGCAGCCCGUCGCCAGGGCCGGCUCCUCCUCUGCUCCGCCACCGCUCUCCUUCCCGCCGGGGUUUUCACCCCGACCUUUGUUCGCUGCAGCUGCGCAAGCUCCAGUGAGUCAAACCCCCCAAUGCUUGCUUGUAGAUGUAGAUUAGGGUUUUAUUUUCUUAGGCAUGUGCUAGUAGUUAGUGGAUUCGAUCAGAUUAGAUAGAUUCGAGUAGACCCGAUUGGAUUUGAUCCCAAUCAAAUCCAAUCGGACCGAUCUAUUCUUGUAUCCUACAGUGUGUGUUCUAGGACAAUUUUUUUCUGCUACUGCUAGUGUGUCCUAGGAUUUGUGAUCAUGCUAGUAGUUGUGUUCAUUCUAGUAGUUGUGUUCAUGCUAGGGUUUGUGUUGAUUGUUAUACAUGCAUGUAAUAGGACCAUUUUAGGAUGAUGCCAAAUGUGCAUGGUACACAUGGGUGCUAUUGGCACUUGCACUUGCUAUUUUUAGAUGUUUGCAUGCUUAGGAUAGUGCAUUGAUCAGUGGCACUUGCCCAUGAGCAAGUGCCACUGAUCAGUGGCAUUUGCUCAUAUCAGUGGCACUUGCUGUUGGGCAAGUCCACUAAUCAGUGCCAUUGCAAGUGUCAUUGAUCAAUGUCAUUUGCUCAUGGCCAAAUGCCACUGAUUAGUGGCACUUGCUGUUGGGCAAGUGCACUGACCAGUGGCACUGGUCAGUGCACNNNNNNNNNNNNNNNNNNNNNNNNNNNNNNNNNNNNNNNNNNNNNNNNNNNNNNNNNNNNNNNNNNNNNNNNNNNNNNNNNNNNNNNNNNNNNNNNNNNNNNNNNNNNNNNNNNNNNNNNNNNNNNNNNNNNNNNNNNNNNNNNNNNNNNNNNNNNNNNNNNNNNNNNNNNNNNNNNNNNNNNNNNNNNNNNNNNNNNNNNNNNNNNNNNNNNNNNNNNNNNNNNNNNNNNNNNNNNNNNNNNNNNNNNNNNNNNNNNNNNNNNNNNNNNNNNNNNNNNNNNNNNNNNNNNNNNNNNNNNNNNNNNNNNNNNNNUGCCACUGAUCAGUGGCAUCUGGCCAUGAGCAAAUGCCAUUGAUCAGUGGCACUUGCUGUUGGGCAAGUGCACUGGUCAAUGCCACUGACCAGUGGCAUUUGCCCAACAGCAAGUGCCCAUUUUGCAAAGAUUUUGUGCACUAAUACUUGUCCUCUUGCCUGGCAAGAUAUUAAAGAGUGACUGGGAUGUGGCGGGUGGAGGAGCUUAGGUGGUGGCCGGACCUGAGAGCGCUGAGGAUUUCAUCCCCAUGAACAGGUGGCUCAGGACGGUGGACCUGCCUGGCAGGAUCGCCUUCAUGAGCCUGCCUCGUUCAAGGGGACGAUCUCCGAGGCAGGGCCACGAGGAGGGGGCAUGGGAGCCGCUUUGCUUCUACCAGCAGACCAAGGACAACGAGGACCUCGUCAUGCUCGUCGUUCCUCACAAGUUUGUGGAGGUGAUGAACACAUGGCUGGCCAUCAAGCGACUCCCGCGCGCGGUCAGGCUGUCGGCGAACAAGCGGUGCGUGUUCUGGGUGCAGGUCCAAAACUUCGAGGGGCACAUGGUGCUUGGCCGGGGCUGGAACUACUUAUGCCGCCGCCACCGGAUCGUCCUCGGCGACCUCAUCGUUGUGCGCAUCUCAGGACUCAGACUGAAGGUUCAGAUCUACAACCACGACUCCUCGGUCAUGUGUAGAUUUUGUUGCAGCAGACACAACUGCGUUGGUGACAUCGAGCAUGCUAUGUAGUUAAGUUAAGUUGUUAGUGUUGAAUUUUUAUGGUGUGUGGCUAGACUUAUGCGGGGAACUUGUGCUGGAAACAUGUUAAUAUUUUGGCCAGGAGCAGCACCCUGACGUGGAGCAAGGAAGGAGGAUGCCCCUGAUGUUAACCUUAAGUAGUUUGCUGUCAUUUCUUUGCUUGCUUGCUUGCUUUGUUUGAUCUUACUUUGUUUGUGCAGUUGUGCUGAUCAUGUGGUGGUAAGGCCACCACAUUUGAAUGGGGUGAGCAGAACACAAACGUUGUUUUCAACCAUGCAGUUGAAGUUUGCAUCUGCUCACACCCUAAGCACAAAAACGGCAACCAAACAGCAGGGGGUAAGUGCCCCUCCAUGCGAUGCAGACAACUAAACAAGUUGCAUCUGCUGCAUAUGAGGCUGCAUUUCAAGAACCAAGCUGGGUUGAGAUGGACAUGCAAUGCAGAAACUGUUGCAAACUGAAACCAAACACGCCCCAAGUGUUGCUCGACUUGGGGAAAGUAGUAAAAGCCGCUGCAGAAUAUCAUCUCUGUAGUAAAACCCGUUGUUACAUUUCAUCUGUUUGAAUAUUGUGAGAUGUGUAGCUUAUUAGCAAAACAUGCAGUGCAGUUAACGAAGGCCAGCAAUAACAGUCACGCGUUUGCACGCACCAUGUGUGUUGUGUACCUGGUUGAACGACCGUUGGAUUCAAAAUUCCUCAUCAGCCCCAUGGAUCCAACGUUAUCGGCAACAACUCCAGCCAUUGAGCGGAGCCCCACAGUGGGUGACAACUGUCGUAGUGCUAAAUCUGACAGUAAGAUAUGUGUAUGUAUAGUCUUUGUCUUCUGGGAGUUGCUCUUGCAUAUGAGUGUGACAUUACAAAGAUCGCGAUCGUAUAGCCGGAUGCCAGAGGCAGGCUUAUAUAGAGUGUCACGUACUCCUGCGCCCGUGAACUAGGCCACGUUACAGGAUGUCAUAAUGUAUAUAAUGUAUACUAAUUCAUGUCCACUACUGGCGGUAAGGGACGUCCAUAAUCAUAAGUCAUAGUGCCUGGUAAUGUCAAGCUUUAAUACUUGAUGACGGGUCUGGCUGGUGGCCUUCUGUAUAAUCUGAGUGACAGUAAACCUACUGACGGUGUACCGCUUGAUGUACAAACCGGGUGACCAUCAUCAAACUGACAGGUGAAUCGGCUGAAGGCUGAAGCAGUCUUUCCGACCUUAAUUGGAUAUUUUAAAGACACGUCGAUGCAAUCAUAUCCCAUCUUAACUGGAUAUGUAUAUUUCUAAGUUUUCACAGUUUUGGCUUGUACAUUCAUAAUGAUACCAUGAGUGCUUUAGGCCAUCCAUAACAUAUGUUUUCGGAUACCCCCAUACAAUUACAACCUAUCUUUUCUCAAUGGGCACAAAAUAUCCAUGUUACUGGGCCCGACAUAAUAGCUCUUGAUGCAACAACAAGUACUAGCUUAACGUGGGGAGGCGGCGAGUUAGUAGCAGUAGGUCGCAAAGUGGCUUUGUUACCUAUUCCAUUAGGAACCGCAUUUUUUAGUGAUAUUUAGGUGUUUCAUAUCUUUUAAACUAGAAUCCUAUUUUGAUUUUUACAUAUAUUUAAAUCCCAGUGAAAAGACCUUUCGAACAAGACCGAUAUUAGAUGUAUUUUUUUAAAUCAUUUAAAUUUUGUUGUUUCACAAACUGAUUGGAAUAAAAUUCACAACUGCUAGCACCUAUUCAAGAAUUUAUUUAAUUCUAAAAUGAUUUUCAUGAUUCAAUUAAUUGCAACUAAGAAAAAUGAUUUAAUAAUAAUCAAAAACUAUUUUAGUUUUUGGAACAAGUGGUUUCAGCUAUACCAAAACAAUGAUUUCAAGUUUUUCUAGUUUCACUAAUUAGAAAUAUUUCAGAACAUAUAUUUCAGUAAUUUCAAUAUUUUUUUCAACUUAUCUUAGUUGAAAUACUUCACAGAUCACAUAGUUCACUUAUUUCGAAUAUUUAUUAAACAUACUCCCUCUGUCCCAAAAUAUAAGAACGUUUUUAACACUACACUAGUGUCGAAAACGUUCUUAUAUUAUGGGACAGAGGGAGUACAUCUCAGUAAUUUGAGUACAUAUUUUUGAGUUUACUUAUCUAAAAUAUUUCAUGAAUCAUAUUUUGAUUUAUUUAAGUUAUUACAAAAGAGUUAUUUUCAAUUAUUCAUAUCCACUAUUUCAUUUAUUAUAAAUGGUUUCACUAUUGAAAAACUAGAUUUUAGUUAUUACAAUUUUUGAAAAAUUAUUUAACCACUAACUACAAAGAGAACUCAUUCAAAAAUUCAAAAAAUGAAUUCCACAUACCUAAAAAAUAUUCCAUUUGAGUGGUGCAAAAAAAAACUUAGAUAUGUAUUAAUAUUCCUCUAAAAUGGAGUGGAAUAUUUGAAAUAUGUUUCAAUUCUAUUAAAAUAAAUUAAUUUUCAUGAAACUGAUUUAAAAUAUGAUUGAAACACAAAAUAUAACUACUUCAAAUGUAUCAAAAGUGGUAUUUUUGUAAAGGUAUUCUCGCUAGAAAUUCAAAUAUAUAAAAAAAUCAAAAAAAUAUUUAGAAAAAAUCACUUACCUCAAAUAGGAAAAGCAACAUUGUUUUUGAAUAUAUAACAAAAUAAACAAAUAUUUAAAAGAAAUCACUUAUCUAAAACAUGAAAUGCAAAAAAAAACAUGCAAGUGUCAUCCUCUAUCGCCCCCACUUGCGCUAAGACCUCCCAAAGUUGGUAUUAGGCAGCAUCAACAUCUUGUACCAUCAAAUACUAUUGUCAUACUGUGGCAUCCGCUUGGGACAUACCCUAGCACGAGACCUCCUAUUGGAUGCCAGCGUGCGUCAAAUAGAAGCUUUUGUUGAAGGGCGCAUGUUAAUAGCCCGGCCGAUUGGCAAGUGUCGAGUGAAUUAAACAUGUCACAAGAAACCGCAAAAAUGUGGAGUCGAACUCCUGACCUCGCACCAGGGAGCAAUGUACAAAUGAUGAUUUGAUAAAAACGAAGCACUAAGAUUUUGUUCCUGGUAUUUAUGUUGGCAGAGGAGAAAGUUAGUGCAUAAUGAAAAGGUUCAGGAAAACCUAAGCUCAUAGUAAUGGCAAUCAGAGCUUUGGUUGCUAACUAUACUAUAGCGAGUGAAGCAGAGGCAACAAUCAAGUGACAUGGCUGAGAAAGACCAAGGAGCAACUAUAUGAAGCUAAACGUGGAUGGGGUUUUUGACCCAUACUUACUCAAGGGCUCGUAUCGCGCUGUCAUCAAAGACUCGAAUGGCAGAUUCGUCGUGGCGGGAAAUGGGGAAAUCGAUUGAUGCGGAUAUGCACUUAUGGCCGAGGCGCACUGGCCUUACGGGUUGGUCUCAAUUUGGCAACUAUAUUCGGAUGUAACCGCAUAAAGGUGAACUCUAAUAACAUCGAGGUGAUAGAGAUAAUGAACAAUGUGGGGUCACUCUUUAGGUCUAUCGGUGGCAGUUUCUGAUAAUACAUAUCACCUUUGCGCGUGAUUUCCUACAUAUUUUUUUUGACGAUGCUACUAGAGAGACUAAUUGUGUUGCACUUGAUUUAGCCAAAUUAGCUGGAAGUAAGGUUUGUGCGGAGUGGAUGGAAGAUCCAUCCAUAGAGAUAGUUGAUACUCUUGUAAAAGAAAACAUGGUGAUCACCUUGCAAUAAAAAGAGUACUUUGAUGUAAAAGAAAAGUCCUAAGUUGAGCCGCAGAUCCUUUAAAAAAUCAAGAUUUUAUGGAAAAAAGGUCAACGAAAUGUUCUUGAUAAAUUUUAAUAAUGUUUGAAAAUCGUGAAGAAAUUAUGAAAUUCGAAUAAACUUUUAAAACAUGAACAGUUUUUAAAAAACUAUUUUUCCUAAUCCCAAACAUUUAUUGAAAUUUCUUAUAUAUAUGAUGAACAAAUUUUAGAUAUACAUUGAACAUUUUUUUAAGAUAUGCUGAAAAAUUAUUGAAUACACACUGAACAUUAUUGUGGCAUGUGUUAAUUUUUUUAAUAUGCGUUGAACACUUUUAUGUGCUAAACUAUUUUAAAUAACAUGUUUUUAAAAAUACGUUGAACAUUAUCUUAAUUACAGUAAACAUUUUUCUUAUACAUACGAUGAACAUUUUCGUAAGACACGGUGAACCCUUUGUAUAAUAUACACAAAAAAGAGAAGAAAAACAAAUAAACAGAAUGAAAAAUACGGAAGGAAAAGCCAGAAGAAGAAACAAAUGCAAAAAAGGGAAAGAAAAAACCCGAAACACAAAACUGGAAGAAAAGGGGAAAACCCCGAGUAGCAUUUUUUUAGGGAAGAAAAACACGAGUAGCAGACUGCGACCGAAAAAGAACAAGCAGCGGAUGCGCGCACGUGGGCCGGCUUGUCACACUGUGGGCCUCUGGCAUCCAUUGGGACGUAUCCCGAUAGGCCUAGUACACACCCGCAGUAUCAGGAAGGAAUGUCGCUCAAUGGGCCGGCAACCAGUCCAAAACCCAUUGUUACAAGAAAAACAAAAAAGGUGCCAAUCGUUUAGUCCCACCUCGCCUGGGAAUGGGGAGAGAGCAGGGAGCUCAGCUAAAUAAGAUCGUUUCCCUCAAAAAAAAAAAAAGCUAAAUAAGAUCGUGGGGUGCAGACGGUGAAAGGCACGCAGCUGCGUGGUGAGCACAAAGCGAACUAUUCUUUCGCCUUUUACUAAAGAAUACCGUGUGCACGCCACAUUAAGCAGCAUACCCUAAUUUUUAAAGGGGGUCUUCUCCUUGUGAGAAGGCCCCAAAAAUAUUGAAUUUGAAAUAUUUGUGGUGUUAUGACAAAAUUCCUAAAUGGUUGCUAAAGUGAUUGAAUUGUUUACAAGCAUAAGCAAUUGAUAUCCAUCUUUGAAAUGUGGAACAAAAACAAAAUACCAAGUUAAAUCAUUUAGUUAUACCAAGCGACUGGUAAAUUUACAACCGUUAAUCAUUUAGUUAUACCAAGCGACUGGUAAAUUUACAACCGUUAAUCAUUCCCAAGUUAGACACCACAAACUGGAUUUUUAUCAUCAGUUAACUACUAUAGUGACUAAGAAUUCAGAAAGCGACAAUUCAGAGAUUUGCCAAGCAUAAGUUUUUACACAACCGGAACAUUUGAUUCAGUCUCAGGAACCAAUCUAUUCCCUCCGUCCCACAAUACAGGACGUUUAUGCAAGCUACAUAAGUUGCAAAAACGUCUUUUGUUAUCGGACGGAGGGAGUCUAAUACUACAGCAAUGGCUUGUAUGCAACAUAUAUUUGAAACAAAGCACGGACCCAGGAAGAUUAACUGUAAUAAAGAACGAGUGACAAGCCAAAGCACCUUCUUGCAAGGAUUCGACCAUAACGUCUCAUCUCAGUAUAUAUUAUCAGGUAUAUAAACUUAUAUGCUAAUAUGGAAAUGUCUUCAGGAUCCGACAGUCAUUUGCUAUGCAGUUAUUUAAGUCUAUGGGUUCAUCUGUUCAUAGGGGCAGCUUGCAUAUGGAACCUAACGGUAAAGCUUGCCGAAAACAUGGAGCACAGCAACGACGGCAACAAACCCUAUGCUCAUGAUCAGAACAGCAUUUGGGGACAUCUUGCGCCCAGCAGCCUCGUCAGUGUAGAACUGAAGCAUCGUACUGGCGCCACCACCACCUCCAGCAGCAGCACCGCUGGUGGUUCUACGUCUGCGCAAGCUUGCCGCAGCUGCUGCACUCCCUCUUGCAGGUGCGUCGCCAUUAAUCACCAUCUUGUUCUUAUCUAUCUGCAUGGAAGUAUGAAUUCUGAUCAAAAUGCUUGUAAAUCAUAAAUAACCAAAACAUAAAGAGUGUUCCGAAUGACCCAACCUGAAUCUACGAAACCAAACUCGGAAUCUAUGGAUACAAAACCAAAUUCAGAAUCUAUGGAUGAACAUGCGAUCGAACAUCUCGUGUCUAGAAAGAAAGACAGACGGACCGACACACAACUGUACAUUAUACCAUUAUAUGACUUACUUUUUUGCAAACAUAGGGAAGUCAAAAGCCAGCAAAGUAUACUACUCAGAGAACAAAAAAACCUCUACAAAACAAUAAGGAAAGGUUAAGAACUUCAAGUGUGCCUUGGAUCUCAGCAGGUAAUGUUUUCUUCAGUACUUGAGAAGUUCGAGAUAGAUAACGCAGUUUACAAUCACAUCAUCGAUCCAUGACUUGGAGCAACGAAAAGCCAUAAACAAACAAACAAGCAAAUUAAACAAAAGAAGAAGAUGAUAGCAUCUCAGACUACAUAGUCCCCAAUGUUUUUCUUCACUGUCAAAAGUCAACUCAAAGUGCAAGGAUGAGUAAACUUGGAUGUAACAUCACGGAUGCUCUGGAGAACAAACAAAUCAAAACGGCACAAGCAAAAUCUCACAGCUAUAAACCAAUAGAAACUAUAGUACAUCUCUCCCAAUCUCAUCUUUCUUUAUAUGAGCAGUCGGUUUCUUGAAGCAGAAACAGAAACAGCGGUUGCAAUAUCCAGAGAAGAAAAUGCAGAAGUCAGCAUCAGCACCUCUAUCUCUUUCCCAGCCGUCACCUCUCUUUAUCAAUCAGCAAUCAGAACAAAAUUCACAUCCAGCAAAACUAUAAGGAUCUGCAUUAGCAAUUCUUGCAUGUGUAGCACAACAAAGCAGCAGGAAAAUCGCAGCGGAAGCGCACACACACACACGUCUAAAAUCGUGUCACAUAUCUCCUCCCCCUCCCCCGAUCCCGCCCAGCCCCGGGCGCCGCAGUUCCCUCCGCACCUCGCCGCCCCGGUCCAGCGCCGAGUGUCCGCGGAUCUAGGUCCGUCGACAGCGUCCAACAACACGUCGGCAUCCAUUUCCCCGCCCCAGCCCCGCGGAUCCACCGCCGCGCCCUCCCAAGGUAAGCUAUCUCUCCGUUGCUCGAUCUGAGAAAGAAAUCGGGGGAAGGGAACGAACCUGUGAAACUGCAGCGACGGCGGCGGCGGGAAGGCGUCGUCCGGCGACCGGGGAAGAGAUCUGGGAGGAAAUAGGGCAACUGCUAGAGAGAGCGUUAUUUAUUUUAUUUUUCGUUCUCUUCCCUAAAAUAGGGCUGUUGGGAACGCGGUUGAUGGGCCUGGUAGCCGGGCUUAUGCUGGAUCUGCAUAGGACAAUCAAGCCCUUUUUUUUUUUUUUGCUAAGACGUGUAANNNNNNNNNNNNNNNNNNNNNNNNNNNNNNNNNNNNNNNNNNNNNNNNNNNNNNNNNNNNNNNNNNNNNNNNNNNNNNNNNNNNNNNNNNNNNNNNNNNNNNNNNNNNNNNNNNNNNNNNNNNNNNNNNNNNNNNNNNNNNNNNNNNNNNNNNNNNNNNNNNNNNNNNNNNNNNNNNNNNNNNNNNNNNNNNNNNNNNNNNNNNNNNNNNNNNNNNNNNNNNNNNNNNNNNNNNNNNNNNNNNNNNNNNNNNNNNNNNNNNNNNNNNNNNNNNNNNNNNNNNNNNNNNNCAUGACACGAUAUUAGCCGGGUCGUGCCCGGCCGCCCCCCGUGCUUCCCCCUCUAGUUCAGGCACGACCCAGAAGCUAUACGGGCCGGGCCGGCGGCACGCCAGGCACGCCUGGCCUGCUAGGCUGUUUUGGGCCAAAUUUGGCCUACUGGGCUAUUUUUUCGGCUAUAUAUAUAUGUCAAAAAAAUCUUAAAUAAGAAUAAAAAUAAAUAGACGGGUCGUGCCAUGCCGGCCCGCGUGCUCAGCCUUCAAGCCCAGGCACAGCCCCUGGCGUGCCGCGUGCCUAUAGUAAGGGCAACUCUAACACGCCGAUGUAUUUCGUCUGCCUACGUCCAUUUGAGUCUGCACGGUAAAAAAAAUGACCCAACGUGCCGACGCAAAUGGAUAGACAUAUGUUUUCUUGUCCGUUCGACCCAUUUCUGACCCAAAUUUGGGUCGGGGUUGCGUCCGUCCGAACACGUCAUGGACGCCCAUCGCGUCCUCCCAUUGUCCUCCCCUAGCCCGCUAGCUAGUCGGUGCCACAUCAUUUCAUUCCCAAAUUUCCUCUCAACCCCCUCACUAGAGUCAUGGCCAACGCGCUCAACCCCGUCGUUGCCUUUUUCCCUGCCGUCCCCAUCCCCGUCGUGGCCGCCCGCGUCGUGGCCCCAAAGAAGUCAAAGAAGGAGAUGGCCACGGAGCGGAUAGCGGGCCGACCGGAGGAGGAAAGAGAAGGCAAAAGAAGAAGUCGCGGUCACUCACGCACAAGUCGCCACUCCGAACACCGAGGCCAUCACCGCCAAGGCCAUGCAAACCACCCUCCUCCUUCUAGGGUUCCGCCAGCCGACCCUUCUGUCGCCACCACCGCACCGACCAGCACGGGCUCGUCGGCAACCUGGCCGCAUAGGCUUCCGGACUCAUCGCGCUUGUCAACAUCGCCGACAUAUGGGUACCUCCCCGAACACAACCUGACAGCAAUGUCCUGCUUCUCCACCUCACUUCAGGACGGCUAGCUGAAAAUGGGCGAUUCCAUGCUGGUCGUCCCUGUACUGGCUCCCAUUGACCUCAACGCCACACAUGUCUUAUUUCACCACGACCCUGACCAUGGAGGAGAUCUGGAGCAUUAAAGAAGAAAACACAAGUAUAUGAGUGGAAGUCGCAUUGACUGUCAUGAUGGAACUUACCAUAAGAAGCAACAAUCAAAUGGAGCAAAUUCCAGCCACACCAGCGCUUCUAGAGAGAAGAUGGCACCCGCCAUGCCUGCUUGCGCUAGUGCUCGGCCAGGUGGCGUCACCUCCUCCUGGUCGGUUAUUUUACCUCGGUGGCUUCGGAUCACAAAAUAGAGCUAGAGCUACAGAGAGAUUAAAAAACUUCACCAAAAUGAAGAACUCUAGCCGCCGGAAGGGAUCCGGAUGGGGGACGAUAGAAGGGCUUCGCUACGCCAUCAACCCAACCAAAGAGACUUCGACACCAACCAUCAUUAUCAUCGCCAUGGUAAUACCAAACCCUAGGUGGAUUCCUACUUGUAUUACUUUGAUCAUUCAUCCAUGAUUACCAUGAUUGUCCCUUUGAUGUUUGUUGUCUUUAUGUCUGAUUAAAACUCCUAGUUCUCGGUGAUACGGGGGAACCUAGUAUGUUUAGGUGUUGAAUGCCGAGCGUACUCUACAUCCUCCUUGUAUGUUUAGGUUAAUAAUAUUUUUCGAUGUUGGGUGAAGUCGACACUUGCCCUUCGGGAUGUAAAGGUUAUUACUAUCGAUGCAUUGUUGGGUUUGUGGAGGUACUGAGGUCAUAGCUAUCUCCCUCCUUUCCCGACCGCUCGAUAGGGGAUUACCGAAGAACGCCUUUAGCUACGUCCACUAAGAGACCCUUAAUCGUUGUUGUCGUAACCUACAUGCCGAGAGGCGAGAGGAACCGUGGUGACAUAUGUGUUACACGGCUACGCCAUUUAUGCACGUAUCUGUACAUGGAUCCGCCCACUUAUAAAGUAUACAAACUGUCUUAGUUAUCCAAAACUAGACUAUGCAUUCGCAUAUAUCUUUAUCCAGAGAAGAAAUUUUAUGUAUCUUUAUAAUGGUUCACUAGUAGAAAAAGGACCUAAUAUGAGACACAUUAGUGUCGGUUUGAUUUUGAGCCGGCACUAAUGUGUCCAUUAGUGCCGGUUCCAACGACUAGCCGGCCAUUCUCAUUAGUACCGGUUCGUGGUGAACCUUUAGCACCGGUUCGUGCCACAAACCGGUACUAAAGAGAGUGGUGGCAGGGUGUUGUCAGCCUGGGGCCCCUCCAGCACCUUUAGUACCGGUUCGUGACACGAACCGGUACUAAAGGUCAACGUACAUAAACCCUUCGUCCACCCGAACCACUCUGUUCUUCCCUUUUCCCCUCACUUCCUCUGUUCUUCCCCUCUCUUCCUCGAGCUCCUCACAAAUUUUGCCCAAAAUUUGUCAAGAUUUGAAGGCCCCCAUCCAUUCAAAUGAUCACAAAGGUUAGCAACUUUGUCCUUUCAACUCUCAUUGCUAGAUUAGCUCUUGCAAUGCUUUGUAUAGUGAUUAAUUUGGAAGGAAUUAUAUUUGCUAGUAUUUGAUUUAUAUGCAAUUUGAGGUCAAAAAUAACACUUAGUUUGAAUAUGUAGGUGUGGUUUACUUAGUGCCUUCUAAAUCUCCGUUGUAACCACCGUCGAUCGCCCGCACCGUCCCGUCGCCGGCACCACCUUGUGGUGAGUCUCUUGUUCAUGAAUGUUUUACAUUACCAAAUUGAUGUUUGUGUGAUUUGGAUAUAUAGUUACUCGUAUAAUUAUCUUACUCGUACGUUGUUUGUUAUACAUAGUGCCAUGCUUUUGAUAUCCGUCCCCGUCGGCCCUCGUCCUUGUUAUGAUUCGGAUGUGGUAUAUUCUCUUUUAAAACUAGUUGUUGCAUUUCGUGUUUAUGACAAAUUAUGCCCAUCAAGUUGACAUAGAUAUUUUUAUCUAGGAGGUAUGUGAACCGGAAAUUCCAACCGACCCUAUUGUCGAGAGGUUAAAUUUAGUUGAAAGAGAAAAGGAGUAUUUGAAAGAAAAACUGAAAAGAAUUGAGGGGGAGAAGAUGGAAUUGGAGUUGCAUGUUGCCGAUGUCGUCGAUGAUACAAGACCAAGAUGGAGAAAAUGAGGUUGAAGAUUAGAAAGAUUAGAAAAUAUGUCAUUGAUAGUGUGGCUUGGUAUCAUUAUGUUGUUGGAUCAAUUGUUACCUUAGUUGCGAUCUUCAUCGCAUUUGUUGUUGCAUUUAAAUUCUUUAGCUAGAGAGUUAUUUGUAUGUUGCAUUUAAUUAAGUGUUGUAUAUGAACUUUAUAUAUAAACUUUAUGUAUGAACUUUAUGUAUCAACUUGUAUUAAUUUGGUCUAUUCGGUGUUAUGUAAUGAAGAUGAGCCGACAAUGGAUGUAUGAUGACCGAUGCUCUCCCGAGUUCAUUAAUGGCAUGCAUACUUUUCUGCGGGCCUCCGAGGCAAACAAGCGGGCGGAUGGUUUUAUGCCUUGUCCAUGUGCUAGUUGUAAGAAUGGUCACAGUUACUCUACGUCAAAAACCAUUCACGUCCACCUAUUUAAGUCCGGUUUCAUGCCCCACUAUAAUGUUUGGACCAAGCACGAAGAAAUAGGGGUUAUGAUGGAAGACAAUGAAGAAGAAGAGGACGACGACGGCUAUCCUGGCCAUGGGUUCCCUGAAUACGAUGAUACAACAAUGGGGGAAGAAGCUGAGCCGGCAAUGCGGGAAGAAGCUAAAGAAGAGGCAUCAGAUGAGCCCGCUUUGAUCUAGGUCGGGCCAUUGCCGAUGCAAAGAGAAACUGCGCAAGUGAUCUGGAGAGGACGAAGUUGCAGCGCAUGUUAGAGGAUCACAAGAAAUUCUUGUACCCGAAUUGCGAAGCUGACAAAAAAAAGUUGGGAACCACACUUGAAUUGCUGCAAUGGAAGGCAGAGAGUGGUGUAUCUGACAAGGGAUUUGGAAAGUUGCUGGUAAUGAUAAAGAAUAUGCUUCCAAAGGACAACAAAUUGCCCGAGAGUACGUAUGAAGCAAAGAAGGUUGUCUGCCCUCUAGGGUUAAAGGUGCAAAAGAUACAUGCAUGCCCUAAUGACUGCAUCCUCUACCGCGGUGAGUACGAGGAUUUGAACGCUUGCCUGGUAUGCGGUGCAUUGCGUUAUAAGAUCAGUCGCGAUGACCCUGGUGAUGUCGAGGGCGAGCGCCCCAGGAAGAAGAUUCCUGCCAAGGUGAUGUGGUAUGCUCCUAUAAUACCACAGUUGAAACGUUUGUUCCAAAACAAAGAGCAUGCGAAGGCGAUGCGGUGGCACGCAGAAGACUGUAAGAAAGACGGAAAGUUGAGAGUACCCGCUGACGGUUCGCAGUGGAGAAAAAUCGAGAGAAAGUACUGGGAGGAGUUUGCAGGUGACCCAAGGAACGUAUGGUUUGGUCUAAGCGCAGAUGGCAUUAAUCCUUUUGGGGAGCAGAGCAGCAACCAUAGCACGUGGCCUGUGACUCUAUGUUUGUAUAACCUUCCUCCUUGGUUGUGCAUGAAGCGGAAGUUCAUUAUGAUGCCAGUGCUCAUCCAAGGCCCUAAGCAACCCGACAACGACAUUGAUGUGUACCUAAGGCCAUUAGUUGAAGAACUAUUACAGUUGUGGAAUGGAACAGGUGUAUGUGCGUGGGAUGAGCACGGACAGGAAGAAUUUGACCUAAAAGCGUUGCUGUUCGUGACCAUCAAUGAUUGACCUGCUCUCAGUAACCUUUCAGGACAGACAAACCAGGGAUACCGCGGAUGCACACACUGUUUGGAUGAUACCGACAAUAUAUAUUUGGAUAGUUGUAGGAAGAAUGUGUACCUGGGACAUCGUCGAUUUCUUCCGACAAGGCAUCCCAUAAGAAAGAAAGGCAAGCAUUUCAAAGGUGAGGCGGAUCACCAGACGAAGCCUCACCACCGUACUGGUGCUGAUGUACAUGAUAUGGUCAAGGAUUUGAAGGUAAUCUUUGGAAAGGGUCCUGGCCGACAACCUAUUCCGAAGGACGCUGACGGACGCGCACCCAUGUGGAAGAAGAAAUCUAUAUUUUGGGACCUGCCAUAUUGGAAAGACCUAGAGGUCCGCUCUGCAAUCGACGUGAUGCACGUGACGAAGA
rnacentral:lncRNA from 1 species